rnacentral:lncRNA from 1 species
AAUAGAGUUAGCUUCUUCCUCUAUUUUGAUGUUUUACUAAACAUUUUCUUGCUUUUUUUAAUUUAAAACAACAAAAGUGCUUACACCUUACCACUUAUUGCUUUAAAGAUGAAGUUUUUUGUUUUAAAAAAUUUCAAUACUUUAAAUUUGAAGUUUCGUAUUUAUAUUUAUAAUUAAUCUUUACAAUUAUACAUCAUAUUUAUAAUUAUUAAAUAUUUUGUUAUUUAUCAUUUUAAUCUUUAAAUUUUAUAUCUCAUAAAUUUUCAAAUUUGUUUCUAUAAAUUUAAGUUUUACACAUAAAACUAAAGAAAAAAAUUAAAUAAGAUUAAAAAAUUUUAAAACUAGAUUUAGAAAUGCAUUAGUUGAUUAUAUAUGAGGACAUUACAGAAAUAGUUUUAUGGAAUAAUGUGAUAUUUUGCUUAUAGUUUAAUAUUCAAUUAUGUAACUCUAUGUACAAAUUUCAUAUUUAUUUUAAAAUUUUAUUAAUUAAUACUAUUGUAACUAUUUAUUUAUAAUUUUUUUAUAAAUUAAAUUAAUUAUGAAAAAAUAAAGAUCAUAUUAUGAGAUUUAAAUAAUUUUGAAGUUAAGUUUGAAAUUUUUCUUUUGGAGAAAAACAAUUUUAAAAUUCAAAUAUAAAAUUUUAGAAACUUAAAAAUAGAGUAUUUUUUUUUGGAGAUUCUCUAAGCCAACUUUACUAAUUUGCUUACUCUAUUUAAUAUCUUUGCUUUUAUAAUAGCUAAGAGAAUCCACAAUGGUUAGAUACUCUCAAAAGUUUAUCCAUCCAUAUAAAAUACUAAUAGUUUUGACAAUUUAAUUAUUUGAUUAAACUUUAAAUGAAAUGAAAAGCUAAUUCAGUUAUAGAGUGACAUGUGGAAUAAAUAUCUCAAAUUUUUAUUGUUGAGUAUUUACAAUGAGAUACCUAUCUCAAAUUUUCUUCAUUUUCUUUUUUCUUUUUAUCUUUCGUAAUAUUUUUAUUUGUUUCUGAGAACUUCUCUAAGAGAUUCUUAUUGAGAGCUCUAAGUGAAUGUUAAUAUUCUAAUAGGUUUGGGAAUUAAUAGGUUUACUGUUUUAGGGACUUGAGCUCAAAAAGUUACAAGUUUACAUCAGACUAUCAUCCGAAACUGGUAUUGACAAUCAAAUCUAGCACUCUGAAACCGUAUGGUCGAUGAGGCAAAUACAAUUCUAAUAGGUUUAGGAAUUAAUAGGUUUACAGUAUUUGCCUCUUCGAGAAUACGGUUUCUUUGUUUAACGAACGGUAAUGUAAUUCCACGUGUUUAGAAAGGAUUUUAAAGGUGUUAUUGCUUAGCACGCAGUGCUAGAAACCAAACGUCUUUUAUCGUGCACAUGGAUGCAGAGUUACCACUUUGGUUUACAGAGUCAAUAUAAGUCUGUAAAUGUUUGAUGUCAAGAAAAAAAAAAAAAAGGUGUUAUUGCUUUUCUUACAAAUAUUGACACACAACCGAAACCCCCGUUUCAAAAGAAAAAUAGUUACAUUGAUAUUGUUACAUAACGUUGCUUUUAAAAUAUUAACUCAUGUGUUUAGUUUCAAAAAAGAAGAAGAUAAAUUCAAGUGUAAUACUCAUGUGCUACCUAUGUUUUGAUUUUGAUGCGAUCAUAAUUUACUAUAGAAGUAUUCACAUGAUAGCUGCAAUUUUUUAUAGUAUUUAUAGUAAUUGUGGUUCAGAAGAUUACGAUUUCCUAUUAGCAAUUAAAUUAAACUUCAUCUAAUUAUUCUACUACAACUUUCAUAUAAUAUUUUCUCAAAAAAAAGCUUUCAUAUAAUAUGGUACGAAUUUUCAAAAUUUUAUUCGGUAAGUUAGGUUUGUUGGGUUGGUCAAAAAACAUGAAACAAACACAAAAUAUUUUUUUUUUCAUUUUUAGAAAUAUAUUUUGUGGAUUUAGUAAACUGCAUUGGCCUUCUGCAGUGAAAGUACUAUAAGAUCAUUUGUUUUGACUUUUGAUAUGCAUAAUGACCAUAUAAAAGUUUAGAUUAUAUUGAGUUAAAAAAACGAUAUCUUGAGAUCUUGGAUAGAGUCAUAGAGAUAAAGCUAGAUGAGUGAAACCUAGCUAAUCUUUACCAAAAAAACACAAUAAACAAUAGUCAGAAAAAGUAGAAAAGAGAAAGAAAAAAAUAACUAACAGUGGCAAACUUAUUGAUGAAAAUGAUUGCAUCCUCGUCAAAACCGGCCAAUAUAAUCUUCACACCUAUAUAUAUUUCAUGUUUUAAUUAGCCUCCUCUAAUCUCUAUGUGCAGGUUGAUUAUGCGAUCUAAACUAAAAUAUAGAAAGUCGUGAGAGUAAGGAUUAUGAAGUUGAGGAAUAACGUCUACCCAUCAGAGAGGCCCAAAGCCAGCUUUUUACACGUUUAUUUUAUUUUAUCAUAAAUCAUAAAAUGAAUAAUAGUACAUAAAUAUCAGACCAAAAAAUGAAGAGUACACAAAUAAAACCAUCCUUAUCCUUACUCUGUUCAGUCCCACGUUCUCGUGGCAUCGCAAAUAAUUGGUGCAGUCAUCUCUUACAAUCAUUAGGACAUAACUAAUUUCAUUUCAGGGCACCUUUCUAUGAAAAUUUAAGAUAAUAUUUUUAAAGUCCUAUAUCUACUUUAAAUCUCAAUGCAGGAUCUUCUCCUAACUUAGCUACAAUGUCAAUAAAUAUAUAUAUACGAUUAUAUAUUAUACCAUGAUUUUAUACUGCAAUUUGCAAAUAGAUGUAAGACUUGAUAUUAUAAUAUGAUUAUAUAUUAUAACAUGCUUUUUAUAUUGCAAUUUGCAAUGUUCAUUUUUUUUUUCCGCAAAAUCUUUAAUAUACUGAUAAGCUUUUUGAAGAUCACAUACUUUUGAUUUAAAAAUAUCAUUCCGGUUCAGGGACCGGUGGAUCUCAUUGCAGGGAGAGUUCGUGUGGAGGUUGAUGGCUUUAAGCCAUUGGUGUUCUCGGUAACGGUGGAGUUUCAAGAAGGUGUAGAGAUUACAAUGGGGCUUCGAUAUGAGAAGUUGUUUGGGUUCUGCAAAGAGUGUUUAUGUCUUACGCACGAGCAGGCGCGUUGCCCGGAGCUUAUCAAAAAGGGCGAAACUUCAGUACAAGAAGUUGUCUCUGGAGAGACUGGAACAGGUGCAACAAGCUUUAAAGCGGUAGUUGCAAAUGCUUCAAGGCAGAAUGGUGAUCGGAGAGAAGGUCAGUAUGGUCGGUCUCAAGGGUCUCAAGGGUCUCAAGGGGUGAAAGGGACUGAUAAGGGGAAGGGGAUUGCUAGGGAGAAGCAUGGUUAUCAAAAGCAAGAUGGUGCUUAUCAUCCUUACAAGGAGAAGUUCACACGGGGAUAUGGAGAGGGCUCUUCUUUCAAUAGAAGGUUUCAUGGACAUGGAGAUAAGAGGACGGCUCUCCAGGCGAGAGACUUUCCACAUCAACAAAGACAAGUGAUAGAAGAGCAGCGCUCUUUGAACCCUACAAAGCUUAUGCUUGACGCUUUUAAGGGAGCUCCAGGUGGGGUUCAGGGGAGUGGAACAGCCGGGACUGGGAGGUCUUCAAAAGCGCGAAAGUCUUUGCUAUUUGAGGAAGCGGCUUCUGAGGUCAAGAGUGAUGAGACAGGGCAAGAGAUUGGGGUGCUGAGUACGGCUCAGUCUGUGCAGGAGCAAGGUGCACUUGAUGUGGAGGCUAAAGAGGUAGAGGAGCAGUCUUUGCACUCUGAUGCUCUAGAUGAUGCGAACCUGAUGCUUGAUGGCGUGAUCUUGUCGGAUUCGGAGCUCCUGGUGGAGGGGGACGAGUUAGAGGGUUGGGAACAAGGCGAGAUUAUGGAUUUUGCCGAGGAGGAGGGUUUAGAUGCGGGUGAUCAAGGUUUGGGGGAACAGGAGUUGGGUGAUAAGAAACUGGAUGAGCAGGAGGGGAGUGAUCAGAAGUGGAGUGAUCAGGUGCAGAGUUAUGUUGUCGAUGACGGGAAUGUCCAGAUGCCGGACUCUGAGAAGGAGGUGGCCCCAUCCGAUGAGAAGUUUGCAAAGAAGAAGGAGAUGAAGCAGGAGGCGGGGAUGAUAGGGGGUGUCAAGAAGCGUGUGGGGCAAGCUUUUGUUUCUCCACGUAAGAAGCUGUUGGCAAAGGCGGGAGUGAAGCAGGGCGAUAAGGCUAAGAAGGCACCGCCGAAGCCUUAGAACUCAUCUGAGUAAGGGCCUGCAGUAUCUUUAUUUUUAUUUGAAUAAUGUUGGAUUCAAUUAUGAAAUCCCUUAGAAUCGAGUCUUGUCCUAGUGGUGUUGUUUUUAUGGUUUUCAGUUUCUAUAGUCUUUUGCAUGAUCAUCUCUGUGGUAUGGCAUGGUUGUGUCAAAUCAAUGAGCUUUUAAUGGCAUGCAUGUGGUUUAAGGUUUUCAAUAUAUGGCUCUCUCUUUGGUAUCAGCAUGGUUGUAUGGUUUUGGCUCCUAUGGUUUUGGCAAUGUGUUAUGUUAUUUGUUUUGAAGAUUUUGUCAAAGAGAGAAUAAGGUCUCAUUCGUUGUUAGUGUGGUUUGAGAUGAGGUGGAUUUUGGAGUUCUUAAAGUUGCUUUGUAUGAUAAUUUGGAGAAUACAUAUGCACGUGAGGUUGGCGGUAAGCUGCGGCCUGGUUUUAUUAUUUUUUAACCGUGUUUUGGUUUCUUGGUUGUGGAGAUAUUUGGAAAUGGAAUCUUGGAGAUUAUGGUCCGUGGGGUUGCUGAUUCAGUGGAAUUUUAAGGAUUGUGGGGGUAGCUCAUGCUCAGUUUACCAGAUACAUGGGGGAGAUGGCUUGUCUCGGAGGCAAUAUAUAGUUUGGUCUCUCAUUGGUGAUAGAGACUGGAAUGGUAAUUGGGUCUUUACGGUUUAUACCGUGGAGUUGGAAUUGUUGAGUCGGAUUUGGUAUGGGAGCACUGGCUUGCUUUGGAGGAUAUUUAUAAUUUUUGUUUCUUCAUUGGGACCAUACGGUUUGGAUACGGCUACAUACUUCAAGAGGUUUCGGUUUCCAAACUUAAUUAUUGUGGAAUUAUGAAAAUUAUAAGUUGGAAUUGUCAAGGAUUGGGUAGUCAUUGGACUUUCAGUUAUUUACGGGAAAUUUGGGGGAAACAUAAACCAGCUUUUCUUUUUCUAUCAGAGACAAAGCAACAAUUUGAUUUUGUACAAUCGGUUCAGUUUCAUUUUGGUUACAGUCAUCUUCAUACUGUUGACCCUCUAGGUAGAAGUGGGGGUCUAGCUCUUUUCUAUGAUUCCUCCUUUAAGGUAACCAUUCUGUCAUCGACCAACAGAAUUAUUGAUGUGGAAACGGAAUAUGAAGGGAAACAAAUUUUUAUAUCCUUUGUUUAUGGAGAACCAAAUCAAAAUCUACGAGAUCAUGUCUGGGAAAAAUUAACUCGAAUUGGUAUAGCUCGGGAUGAACCAUGGUUUAUAAUUGGAGACCUAAAUGAGAUUACAGGAAAUCAUGAAAAGGAAGGAGGGGUCCUGCGGCACGCUGAUACCUUCAUCUCCUUUAACAAUAUGAUUGAGAAUUGCGGUUUGGUAGAUUUUCCGAGUUUAGGUAACACUUUAUCUUGGAGUGGGCGGAGGAAUAAGCAAGUGGUUAAGUGUCGGUUGGAUCGGGCUCUAGGAAAUAAUGAGUGGCAUAAUCUAUUUCCUUGUUCUCAUGUAGAAUAUUUGGGAAUGGUAGGUUCGGAUCAUAGACCUAUUGUGGCGUCUAUUGAGAAUAAAAUACUUAAAUUUCGUAGACAGUUCCGGUUUGAUAAAAGAUGGAUUGGUGAAGAAGGUUUAAUGGAAUCCAUUACUCGCGGUUGGCAUUCGAGCAAUAGGCGUGGGGAUGUAGGAAUUGUUGGGAAAAUUCACAAUUGUAGACAUGAGAUUUCGGUGUGGAGAAAAGCUAAUCCACCGUAUGGGAAAGAUAAAAUAAAUAAUUUACAAAAGGCGCUGGAGGAAAUUCAAAAUGCUUUUCCAAAACAAAUGAUGAGGUUCUGGAAGUCUCUCGGAAAUUGCAGGAAGCAUAUCGCGAUGAGGAACAAUAUUGGGAGCAGAAGAGUAGAACAAAAUGGCAUACAUGCGGUGAUCGGAAUACGAAAUUUUAUCAUGCUCUUACUAAACAGAGAAGGAUUCAGAAUAGAAUCUCUGGUCUGUAUAAUGAAGAGGGAAUUUGGGUUAAUUCUGAGUCCAAGGUGGAAGAGGUUGCAGUAACAUAUUUUAGGGAUUUGUUUCAUACGUCAUCCCCAGGAGAUUUUGAUAGCUUCCUAGAGGAAGUUCCUACUUCGAUAACGGAUAGUCAAAAUCGGAAACUUAUGACUGAGGCCACGGAAGAGGAGGUUAAAGCAGCACUAUUUAUGAUGCAUCCAGAAAAAGCGCCCGGAACAGACGGAAUGACGGCACUUUUUUAUCAACAAUCCUGGUCAAUCAUCAAAGAGGAUGUGGUGAAUAUGGUUAAUAAUUUUCUUUCUUCAGGAGUUUUUGAUGACAAAUUAAAUAUGACGAAUAUUUGUCUUAUUCCUAAAACGGUGAGACCCAAUAGGAUGACUGAAUUGAGACCAAUUAGUUUAUGUAAUGUUGGGUAUAAGAUUAUUUCAAAGGUAUUAUGUCAGCGGCUAAAAGGUCUGCUACCAAAGCUGAUAUCGGAAACUCAGUCUGCGUUUGUAGCUGGAAGAUUAAUUUCGGAUAAUAUUCUUAUUGCUCAGGAAAUGUUUCAUGGUCUUCGUACAAAUAAAGCAUGUAAAGGUAAUUCUUUAGCAAUUAAGACGGAUAUGAGUAAGGCUUAUGAUCGUGUACAGUGGCCUUUUGUCAAGCGUUUACUAUUAAAGAUGGGUUUCUCGAGUGAUUGGGUGACCCUAAUGAUGCAAUGUUUCUCUUCAGUUAAUUAUAAGGUUCUCUUGAAUGGGCAGCCGAAAGGGCAUAUUGUUCCAGAGAGAGGGUUAAGGCAAGGUGAUCCAUUGUCUCCAUAUUUAUUUAUCUUGUGUACUGAAGCCCUCAUAGCAAAUAUUAAAAAGGAGGAGCGUGAGAAACGACUAACGGGACUGCAAAUUGCACGCGGCAGUCCAAAUAUUUCUCAUCUCUUAUUUGCGGAUGAUAGCUUAUUUUUCUGUAAAGCUACGACGGAGGAAUGUGGCAUAAUUUUAAAAAUACUUAAAGAGUACGAGGCAGCUUCUGGCCAACAAAUUAACUUUCAGAAAUCAUCGGUUCAAUUUGGUCAUAAGGUCCCAGAUAAUAUUAGAACAGAUAUUCAUAAUAUUUUGGGGAUUACCAGUGUGGGGGGGAAUGAGUAAUUAUUUAGGCAUUCCGGAAAGUCUUGGAGGAUCUAAAAUACAAAUUUUUGGUUACCUGAAUGAUCGGGUUAAUAAUAAAGUAAAUGGCUGGACUGUUCGGUUUCUUACUAAAGGGGGAAAGGAAGUUCUGAUCAAAUCAUUGGCUUCACCGAUGCCAACGCAUGUAAUGUCAUGUUUCAGACUUCCAAAAGGAGUUACGAAGAAAAUAACAAGCACCCUUUCUCAUUUCUGGUGGGGUGGAAGUGGAAAUAAAAAAGGAAUACACUGGCUCUCUUGGGAUAAAGUGUGUGUUUCUAAGGAAGAGGGAGGGUUGAAUUUUAGAGAUCUUCAAGACUUUAAUACAGCUCUGUUGGCUAAACAAUUCUGGCGGUUAAUAGAUAAACCAGAUUGUUUGUUUUCAAAAGUCUUUAAAGGCCGUUAUUUUCGGAAUACAGAUCCUUUGGACGAUCACAGAUCAUAUUCAUCCUCUUAUGGAUGGAGAAGCAUCUGUUCAGCUAGAUCUCUGGUUAAAAAAGGGCUAAUCAAAAGAGUGGGAACAGGACAAUCCAUCUCCGUAUGGACAGAUCCGUGGAUACCCGCUCCUCGCCCGAGGUCAGCAACACCAAAAUCAAAUACUCAAUUUUUACACCCUUCAUUAAAGGUGGAAUUUUUCAUUAACCCAAUUGAUUGCUCAUGGAAUGUAGAAUUGCUGAAUGCCUAUAUGCAUCCCGAUGAUGUGAAAUUGAUUCGAGGUAUAGCGAUUAGUAGAUCUCGGAAACCAGAUACAGUGGGAUGGAGCUUUACGGAAUCUGGUAAAUAUACGGUUAAAUCAGGGUUUCGAACGGAAUCUCUGUACUCAGAUAGAGUUCAGAUACCCAUUUUCUAUGGACCUAAUGUUAAACCGUUGUUGUCCUUUUCUUGGAAACUGAAAUGUCCACCAAAAUUGAGACAUUUUGUGUGGCAAUUUCUUUCUGGUACACUACCAGUGUCCAAAAACCUUACUACUCGAGGGAUUGUUUGUGAUACACGAUGCAGCAUGUGUGGGGCAGAUGAGGAGACUACUAACCAUGUUCUUUUCGAAUGCCCACCUGCAUUGCAAACUUGGGCACUCUCCAGGAUUCCUUCUUCUCCAGUUUUUUUUCCAUCGGCGUCUGUGUUCACCAAUAUGGAUUAUUUAUUUUGGAGAUUACCAAAGGAGGAGGAUUUACACUAUUUCCCAUGGUUACUAUGGUAUAUUUGGAAUGCUAGAAAUGAUAAGAUCUAUUCAAAUAAGGAUGCUAAUCCACAGGAGAUUUUAAGGAUGGCGGAGGUGGAAAGUAGGAUGUGGUUGGAAGCACAGUUAACCGUUAAGGAUCCUAAUGAGAAUUCAUAUACUGGGAAUGUACAUCAAUCGGAGGAUCUAGGCCUGGAAGACUUUAGAGUUUGUUAUAUUGAUGGCGCUUGGAAAGAGGAUGAUAAGUUUACGGGACAAGGGUGGUUUUGUAAACAGAGAGGAUCAACAGAGGUUAUGUUUGGGGCAAUGAAUCUUCGAAGAAGUUUGUCACCUCUCCAUGCAGAAUGCGAAGCACUUAUUUGGGCAAUGGAAUGCAUGAAGACCCUCCAAUAUCCUGAUGUAGUUUUUGCGACGGAUUGUUCUCAGCUGGUGAAGAUGGUGUCGACACCUGAAGAAUGACCUGCAUUUUCUACACACAUGGAAGAAUUCAAGCGAAGUAAGACUUUCUUCCCCCAUUUUCGGAUCAGACAUAUCCCUAGAGCACAAAAUACCUUGGCGGAUAAGCUUGCACGUGGUGCGAGGAGUUCUCCUUCAGCUAUGCUUUAUGUCGAUUCAACUCCACCGGUUUGGCUUGCUAGAUCGGCUGGAGACUCUAAUUAGUGUUUGAGUGUUGUUGUCAAAAAAAAAAAAAAUAUCAUUCCGGAAAAAACAUAUUAGUAGUCACAUGUUAUAAAUAAUAGAGAAUGAAAUAUUAAAUAUGAGAAAUUUGAGUCAUUAUUCUUCGUAUCACCAUCUUUUACUUGUAAAUUUAUCAUUUUUAAGAAUAUUUUGCAUUUCUUUUUUUUUGUCAAAUCUAGUUAAUUACUUUAAAUGCAUCUUCUUCUGUUGGAAUCUUACCAAAACAAAAUCCUAAACUUGAAUUUCUAUAACUUAAAUUUUAAUUUCAAUCUUUAGACCAUCUACAUUGAUUUAUCUAUUCAACACCCUCUUUUUACAUCUUAACAUUCUACGCCAUCUUCUUUCACUUCCACAUAAUCAUUUAAUAUACAUAAAUUUUAUAUAUUUACAAUGAUUUUGUUUUUAAAAAAUUACAACACUCUUUCCAUCUACUUUUAUUUUAUAUGUAUUUAUAUUUUAUUUUAUGAUUAUAUAUUUUGGAAUUCUAUCUUACAAUAAACAUAAACAAAAUUUAGUAAAAAUUAACAAAAAAUUAUAAUAGUAUAAAAUAUGUUUUCUAUGUCCAAAUUAAAUGAAAAAAUCUCUAUUUACAAAACACAAAAUAAUAAAUUUUGAUAUUAAAAAAAAAAAGAUAAAUUAAGCUAUUAUACGAUAAUAGGUUUGAAAAUGUCAGGGUGAAUAAGAAAAUAUUAACACUUUCAAAAGCUAAUAAUAUACUGACAUGUUGUUGACAUAGACCCCACCUUUUAAGUUUCAACUAAUUGAAUAUAUUCAAUUACAAAUAAUUCUCAUCAUUUUAAAAACUUUCUCAACACCCUCAUUAAACUCAUUCAACCGUUUUAAAAAAAUAUUCAAUAGCACAUGGUCUAAGUACGAGUAUAAUUUGAACCUUAAGUAAGAUUCUUGAUCAAAUCAGUUAACAGUAGUAAUUCUUAACCAAAGGAGUCUAGCGGAUUUCUCACAUUAAAUUAAGUUUAAAUUUAUGUAUAUAUUUUCUUAAUAAUUUUUAACUAUUAAGAAUUUAGUUGCAAUUGUUCAUAUCAAAACCAUGGUUAAAACAAUUAUAGCUAGUUUGUGACAACAUAUUGUUAUUAAUACGAGCAUGAAAACCGGUUGGCUACAAUGAAACUAAUUUAAAUAAUUUUAAAAUGAUGUCAAGAGAUUAUAAAAGUGGUCGGAACUUUUUUGUCGCCUAUUAUUUUUUUUAAAAAAAUAACCACAGUAAAAACUAGAUAUCUACACUGAAUUUCCCUUUUUAUUUUCUCAUAUUGAUAUUACUUUUCUUAUUGUUUUUAUUGAAAAAUUAAAUUUAUGUAUGAGGAAAAAGAAAAAAAAUGUUACAGAAAUAAAACUUGGAUUGAUUUUUUAACCAAAUAAAAGAAAAAAAUGUUUACUUUCAUUAUGUAAGUGAAAAUGAGAUCAUUGUAAAGUGCAGAAAUAAAAAAGACACAAAUUCUUUAUCGAAUUCAGUAGAAUAAAAAAAGCAAAUUACACCAAUCUGUUAAUGCAUAAAUCAUGCACAAUCCUCCUGAAAAACCACCAUUGUCUAUUAUAAGAAAGUUUGGGAUAACUCAAUCAUAAGCUAAAAUUCACCCUAAAGUCUUAGAAAAACAAACUUGAUAAGGCAUGGGUCAAUGGGUGAUGUCUAGGACAGUAGGACUAUUGAGUGUCCACGACCAGUGUCCUCCCCGAAUUGAUUUUCGUAUUGUUGAUAAUGGACGAAUUUUAUGUAAGCGAAAAUAAAGAAUGAUUAUUUGUAAUACAAAAAUCAAUAAUGAAGCAGAAGUGACUAACUAGAGGGAAAGGACUUUGGAGUCGAUUAAAGACAUCGACAUGUUAGAAGGCAUGAAAGAUGAAAGCUCGGUAAUGGAAUUACAUGUCCGCGUAAUGGAGAUUACUUGUGAAGGAAUGCAUACACAUUGAUAUGGACUUUCCUUUGCCACCUCUGAAAAGUGAUGUAGCAAAUCAUUUGAAGAAUUUUAAGGUUUUUAUUUUAUUUUUUGAGAUCAGUUUUCUUAUAAUAUGAACUUUAUGAAUUUUAAAUUAUAAUAUUUUCAGAGUUGGAACCGAUCUUUAUGAAAACUAAUAAAAGUAAAGAAUACAAAAGUAUAUAUUUGAAAAUCAUAUUAAUAUUCACGAAAAUAAUGGUAAUAUAUAUACAAUGUUUUAUUUUAUUUUUAACUAAUGCUGAACAAUAUAUAUUAGAGGUAAAUGUAAAUUUUAUACUUUCAGAUAUUGCUUAUAUUUUGAUGUCUUUUUUUUAUUUCGAUUUUUGAUCUCUUCUCAAACUUCCAAUAUUACCACAAUAUUGAAAAUACUAUUUUGACCUCCAAACACACUGGACUAAUAUGCGCAUGUGUUAGUAAUAUUGUGCUACUAAUUCGCGAGAAAGCGCUUUACACCAUGUUUUUGGUAUUAAAGCGUACUGGUUUUCAACUAGAAAGAAAUUAAAGUUUAAAUUCUGUAUAACUAAAAAAUAUAUUCGAUUUAUUUCAGAAAGAAUGUCACUUAAACAUUUUUCACACAUAUUAAGAAACUGACUGAAAUGUAAUUGUGUUUUAAUUAAUGUCAUCUAUUUAACCAAUAGCAUUUUAGAUAAAUAUAUUUAUUUAUAAGAACAAUGCAUUUUAUAAUUAAUAUUGAACUAAAAGAAAAUAUAAAUUGUACUGGAAUGUAGAACGACACUUUUUGUGUUAUAAGAAAAAUGUUGAAGUAACAGCUAAUAUGAAACAAAUGGAGUAUGUAUUAAAAAGUCUAAACCGGAGUAUAAAAAGGAGCAAUUACAAAAAGUACUAAUCCCUAAUAUUGUAUUAAAACAUUUUAAAGUUAUUUAUGAAGACAUUUGUUCUUCGUUAUGUAUCUAUGUUAUAAAUUGUGAUUUCUUUCCAGUGAACUCCUUUGUUUUGGAAGAGAAAUAAUCUUUUUUUAAAGAGAAAUAAUCUUGCAAAGUAAGUUGGCUAUGAUGACAAAAAAAGAAAGAUAAAGUCGGCUGAAUAACUGAACCUGAAUCACAUAUGAUUAUGACGAACAUGGCAUCUAGUCGAUUCUGUCAUUUCUUAGAUUUAGUAACUAAGAUGAUUGGGGAAGAUGAUAUACACAAACUUUUUAGUUAAUCUUUUUCACACGUUAAAAGCAAAACUUGUUGUCGCCCAAUCUAAUUUGCAUUUGACUACGGAGUCUAUCCGCUAAAUUUUCAAUGAUGAAAUUGGAAAACAAAAUCGAAAUAAUAUCUGUCACAAUGAGUGAUAUAUUGUCCAAAUUCAUUACUGCCUUCUGCAUAGUUUACCAAUGUGAUAAUUUUGUGUGUGGUAAUAUGGAUGUUGAAAAACUUGUAAACCUCCCCCCUCCUUCUCUCUAGACUUUUCUCUCAUACAUUUUUUAGAUUUCUUUCAUUUAGCUUCGUUUUCCCAGUCGACAGAGUGAGUUUCAUAGUCACUAUCGGUUUAGUUUAUGUUUUCUUUUCCUUUUCUAGUCAGUAUACCGGCUCACCAGAGAGAGUAACACUCGUUCGGGUCCACCAUAAAUUCCAAUAAAUUUAAUAACAAAAAGAGUCCAUAUUUUUAUUUUUCUUUUACAACAAGGGUCCCUAAUCUUAAGUUUAAUUAACUAUUAGGUGUAAAAUUAUUUUUGCCCAAGGGCCUAAUACAAUUCUAAGCCGGCCCUGUUUCUAGUGUACAUGUAUUUUUACUUAGGUUUAAAAAAAUUUCUGAUUGUAUUCUAGAUCAUGAUCUGAGAUUUUGAGGUUGGAGUCGAGUUUCAUUGGUGAUGGUUCUUUUGAAGUUGCUUUUUCGUUGGUGUGGUUCUUUUCGGAGUUAAGAAUAUGAAUAUUGAAACAUUCCUUGCAUUAUUAUCCUAAUAACCAAUAUCACAGUACGUAUUUUCAACUAUAUAUUUGGUUAAACCAACCAAGAAAAUGCUAUAGAUGUGCACCAUUUUACGUCCUCAUAUCAUUAAUAGUGGAUGCUUAUUUGGCACAUAAUAAAUACAAUAAUAGUUAUGGGUUUUCCGGUUUUCUAGGACAGAAAAUAAAAUUUGGGUCAAUUUUUUUUUUUGCUAAAUUUGUGGUGAAUUUUGGUUAUUUUACAAGUCACUUAAUCUUGUUCCUUUUUUUCGAUAAAUUCUAUCGACUGAUCGACAUCGGUAUCGGAAGAAACACAUUUAAUGCUAGAAAGUAGCCAUUGUCUGAUUCGAGUUUAGAAUACCUUCCGACUAAUGAUAACGGGUGAACCGAUCAUCUAUUACGAUCCACCAUGUAAACUAUUUUAGGACAAAGCCUAAUCCCAAACCGUCAAAGUGAUGGUAAUUUAGUUUCUUGGCAUUGGGAUAACCAAUGGAUGUCCCUAAAUUAAGUAGGUUGGAUCGUCGUAAGAUAUGAUUCGAUCAAGUUUCUAAAACACCAAAACUAUUAAUAAGUACGAAUGAAUUUUUCUGGUCAACCAACGGUACAAACGAUUGAAAUCUGAAACAAAGCUUCAGUUGACAUUAUCAUCCGUUUAAUAAAACUAAUUCUAUGUUCUAAAUGAUGAACUGACAAUAUGUCACACUGAUGUACUAAAUUUUUUUUUUGCAACCAAAUAUAUCAUACUUUCCUUUUGAUCACACAAAACGAUAGGUGGCGAAAAAUCAUUUAAAAUACAUAAGGGAGUAUUAGAAAGAAUUUUGGGAGAAUUUUAAUUUAACUACAAGUUUGAUACUAUUUUUCAAAAAACAAUUUUUUAAUAAUUUUUAUAAAUAAUUUAAAUCUGUGAUAUAAAAUAAAUUAACUCUCUUAAAUCCUUUAUAAUUGUUUAAGAAUAAUUUAUGAAAUAUUUAUAAGAGUUUAUAAAUCCAACUUCACCACUAAAUAAGGAAUAUCACUAAACCGUAGAUCUAAAUGUUAGGAUAUUUUUGAUUGAAUGUAUUUUUGAAAAGUGAUAGCCAAGUAUUUAAGUAAUUUUCAAUAAAUUUGAAAGAUAUGAGCACACUCAUUGAAAUUAAUUAAAGAUAUCUAGAUGAUUGGGGGAAACGGGUUAGUGGCAUAUGAUAAAGUUUUAUUGAUGUCGACUUAUUAUUCUUCUUCGUUCUUUGUGAUUGUCUUUCUCAUAUUGUCGUCAUCACAUUUCUUUAAAUGCGUAAAAGACUCAAAAGUUGCAUAAAUGAAAACUGAAAAGAAAACAGCUUCUAGGAAUAUCCCAUUUAUACAAUCCUAUAAUCCGUUGAUAGGUGAUAGGUCAUAAAUCCUAAAUAUUUCAAACGAUGAUGUAGCAUUGUAGCUGCAUCUAGUUAACACAUGUUUACAAAACUAUUUUGGAUGAUUGAUCGGUUUUCCUUGAACAUAUUAGUUUCUAGAUGAUAGUAUAUUUUAGUGAUAAGUAACACAUCGAGGUAAGUAAUCGAUCAACAUAUUUAUAAUAGGAAAAAUUGUUUUUUUAGAGCAAAAAAAAAAUGAUAACUAUGUCCCUUUAGACUAAUAUCUAUUUUGUGUCAUUUUUAUCCAUAACACCUUUUAAUAUUUUUGAAAAUAAAUUUAAUAAAUAGUUUUACAAAUAAAAGAAAAUUGGAAAAAUAGUAAAUUUUGAUUAAAUACCAAUAUGAACUUAGUGGUAUUUUUUUCAGUUUUAAAAAUGUUUAAAUCAUAAAUUUUAGAUUAUGUUCUAAAUAAAGUAGAAAUGACAUUCAACGAAGUAGAAAACAAAAUCCACUUUUUUCAUUGAAUCUACAAUGUUUAGAAUACACGAUAUAUGUAAAUAAGAGUAUUCUAAAAAUAUUUAGAAUACACAUUUUGCACUUAACCUACCGAUCUAAAAUCUUUAGAAAUCAAAAUGUACAUAUUAAUAUAAAUCUACAACACGUAGAAACCGACUUCUACAGAUUUACUGUAAAUCUAAAACAUGUAGAAAUCAAAAUCUAAAUAUUACUAUAAUUCUAAAAACCUGUAGAAAUCGAUUUCUACAAAUUAGUUGUAUUCUACAGAUAAAAAAUCAGUUCCUAAAAAUAUGGAAACAAAAUAUUUGAGAAUAUUCACUUUCAUAUUUUAUAAAAAAAUCGAUUUUUUAUAAAAAAACAAAAAAAAAGACGAAAAAAAAAAUUACAACUUUAAGGGCAUUAUUGCUAUUUUGAAAAUAAUUAGCCUAAUAGAACAUAAAGUAUAUGAGAUUAGUCUAAAGGGACAUAGUUAUCAUUUUUUUGCUCUAAAAAAACAAUUUUCCCUUUAUAAUUUAACCAAGGUGACCCAAUCCACUUGAUAAGGCGUUUUAAAGUAUUGAUUUGUAAUUAUUUGAUUUCAAAUUUGAAUUAGUUCACGAUAAAUGUCAUGGAUGAUUGGUUGAAUGAAAAACUAAUGGGUGUACCCAAACUAGAUAAACAAUGAUUCUAUAUAUCUCAUAUAUUAAUUGAGGACAUAUAUUAAUUGAUGAUCAUUUAAAAAGUUGUAACCUUAAGUUUGUACUAAUUAAAAAGAGGUUUGCUUAGGUGUCACUUAAUUAAGAUGUCAAUUUAGCUUACGUGGCAACAUAAAAAUCAACUGAAAAAAAUGUUGGUCCAAACUCAAUUACUAGAGAAUAUUAUAUUAACCCAAAAUAUAAGAAAUACACACAUUUCUUAAAUAAAAGCUACGGAAUUACCUAAUAUGGUUAACAAAUUAAUGACUAUGAAUUAUAAAGAUUUGAUAACAAUAUUUUCAUUCCUCUCAUUUUUGUUUAAUUUUAUAUUGAAUAAUAAAAAAAUAGAUUUUUAUAUGUUAUAUUUUGAAUUUUUUAAAAUGACUUUAAAUUACAAAAAUAAAGAAACUUUAUAUGAUAGUAUAUUUUAAUUUUUUUAAAGAGACUCUAAAUUACAAAAAUGAGGAAACCUUAUAUGUUAUAUUUUUCUUAUAUGUUAGAGUUCCUUAUUUGUUAUAUUUAAAAUAUUUUAAAACGACUUUAAAUUACAAAAAUGUAAGUUUUCCUUAAGCAUACGACUAAAAGCAUUAAAAUGAUAUUUAUCAAUUCGAUGGUUGAUCUGAAACCUUUCAAAACCAUAUGGAAGAUAAAGGUAACAUUACUAUUCACUUUUUUCAAAAAUAUGUUCGGAGGAAAAAAAAGGUUUUUUGUCAUAGUUUGUUCAAUGUUCAAUCUGAUCAACCCAUGACAUAUUAUUUAUAGUUUAGUUCCAUAAUUUUUGAUAAAAAUUGAUCCGGUCCAUCGGAAAUAAAUUAUAUAAUGACAACAAAAAUAUUGUAUAUGUAUAAAUAAAAUGAUCAAAUAUAUAAAAAAAAUUCGAUAAUAUAUAUAAAUAAAUUCACCAUGUCUUAUCCUAGUAAGCGAUAUUCUCUAUUCGUUGAACAUUAAUUGUGAGCAUGACAACUUCCUAACCUCUAAUUAUUUAUAACCUUAAAAAAGCACUCAUGUUAUUGCCCGGACCCGACAACCCGAACCGGAAUCGAUCCGAAAACCCGGUUCAGGUCGGGUUCGGAUACAACCAUAUUAUCCUAUUGGGUCUUACUUCUUAGGACCUGCGGAUCGUCGAUCUGACCCGAAAUUUACUUCAUACCUGAAGCAGCCUAAAUCUAUUCAGUUCCCGAUACACCAUUAUAGCUCCUACUUUCCUUAAUCGGUUCCACUCCCACAAAAGCAAUUGAAUCGAAGAGUUUGUCCAUUUAUAAACUGUAAAUCCGAAAUCAAACAUCAUCAAAUUGUAAUCUCAUCAUCAUCAAACCCCCCUAACCCUAGCCGCUUCUUCAUCAGCGACAGCGUUGUCUACCAAUCAAACUAGGGUAAGUCUCGAAGUUUUGAUUUAAAUCUUGUUUAUGUAUUUGGUUUAGUCCGAUUCUUGUUUUUGGUUUUGUUGUAAUCCAAGUUUGAUUCCUACUUGUGUUCCUUUGUUCUUUCUUUUGAAGCGUUUCUUUCGUGUUUAAGAUUUGAUCUAAAGUGAACCCGGGUUUGAUAAUGAUUAAACCAAGUUUAUUUCCUUGAUUCUAUUGUUCCUUAACUUCCUUUAUUGGUCAGUUUCGAAGUAGAUAAUGUUCUUGUUGUUGGUUGUGUUUAUCAUUCUUAUUUCUUUCUUAAUGUUGUCUGGUCUAUAAUGCAGAUGGUGUCUUGUGAUAAUGGUUCAAAUUUAGAUAAAUCAGCAAGUUAAGACUCCAAUCUCUCGUAACAAAUCAAAACGUAAGAAAACAUAAGGAGCCAGUGGUUCAAGGUCAGAAAAGAAGAGAACAUCAAAAGUAUGGGAACACUUUACUUGAAAGAAUAAGAUAAUGAUAGAGCCACCUGCAACUAUUGUGGAAAAGAGAUGGCAUGUGCAAAAAAAUCAGGAACAAAAGCUUGAAGAAACAUUUGAAUCUUGCCUGCAAGUGUUACCAAGCAUGGGUGGCUGUGAACAAAGAAAAUAAACAAGGUGCUUUAGAUGGUGAUUGCGAAGAUGAUAAUAUGAGAGUCUGCAAAGUAUUUGAAUCUGUUUCAGACAAGCGACAAAUGAGAUGAUGGUUGUGGGAGAGUUGGCUUUAUCUUGGGUAGAGAGUGUAGCUUGGAGGAAAUUCUGCAACAAGACUAAGCUUUACGUGCCUCAUUCUAGAAGAACAACAAUCCGAGAUAUUGUUGAGAUCUUUGUGAAAAAAAGAAAGACGCAAUGAAGACGAUUCUUAACGAGAUCAAGCAACGACUUUCAUUGACGAGUGAUAUCUGGCUUGAUCCUCAUACUGGUUCUAGUUAUAUGGUGAUUACGGCUCAUUUCAUAGACAACUCGUGGCAAUUGAGGAAGCUCAUCGCUGGAUUCAAGAAUGUGUAUGAUCACAAAGGAUCAACAAUAUAUAAGGUAUUUCUUGAAUGCUUAGAGGAAUGGGAUAUCAAAAGACUGUAUGGAAUAACCGUAGAUAAUGCCACAUCUAAUGGUUCUGCAUUGAGAAAGUUUAGGGAACCUUUUGUUGAGAAAAAUGGGGAUGAUGCACUAGUUCAAGAUGGAAAGUUUCUGCAUUUUAAGUGUGCUACUCACAUUCUCAAUUUGAUUAAAGAAGGCUUGAUGGAGAUAAAGAGUAGUGUCAAUGCCAUUCGUAAUGCCAUAUAUUUUGUGAGCUCUUCAACUCCGAGGCAGAAUUCUUUUUAGCGACAUGUAGAGUCAAGAAUAAUUCAGAGAGGAAGCUUACCUUUAGAUGUGAGAACUAGGUGGAACUCCACCUAUUUGAUGCCAGAACAAGAAAUGAAAUUCAAGGUGGUUUCUGAGAAGAUGGAAGCUGAGGACAAGCCAUACAAUGACUACUUCAAUGAAAUUAUGGAUGGAAAAAAAGAGUUGGACCACCAAGUAAAGAUGAUUGAGAAGCAGUUGAUAGGUUAGUCAAGUUCUUAAUUAUUUCCUACAAAUCUACUUUGGUUAUGUCUGCAUCAAACACUGCUAUUGCGCAUAAGUUGUAUCAUGCGAUCGUCACAGUAACGAGGAACAUUAGUGCUUUAAGCACUGCUCCUGGUCCAGAUGAAAGUUUAAGGUCUAAAACUAGGCAAGUAUUAGAAUCCGUUUGGGACAAAUCAUGAAAAGAUGAAUAAACUUGUGAUUGUCGCUGGUGUUCUUGACCCAACCAAGAAGAUGAAGGUUACCACAAAGCUAUUUGAGAAGUUGAAUGGUGAAGGUUCGGUUGAGGUUACUCAUUUGACAUAUGAAGUCGAGGAAAUUUUGAAGAGUUUGUUUGAUCACUACAACAAUGGAAGUGGCACUAGUGGUUGUUCGGUUUCAUCACUUCAUAGUCAGUCUCAAGGACCAUCUUUUCAAUCUGAAUCUCAGUUACAGGAUCAGUUAGGAGAUGAAGUAUCUCAGAGGAUAGUACUUGAAAAUGGGCUUGCAUAUGAGAGUAUGAAUGACAUCUACAAAGAGCUUAUUCAAAAAAUAUGAUUAUAGGAAAAACAUUGAGUUGGAUAUGUAUCUGAAAGAGAAUGUGGAGAUUCCAAACCUUAUAGGCGGUUCAGAAUAUGAUAUACUCUCUUUCUGGAAGGUUAAUAGUGCAAAAUUUAUGAUUCUAUCACUGCUAUCUAAGGAUGUACUUGCAAUGCAAGUGAGUUAUGUUGCAUCUGAAUCGGUCUUCAACACCAUUUACCGAAUUUUAGACCCCAGUAGAAGUUGUUUGACGCACUAUAUGGUAAACGUAUUGAUGUGCACAGAGCAGUGGCUCAAAUGUGAGAUUAGACUCAAGGGAAAAGGAAUCGCAGGAAAGGAACAAAUGCUUAAGGUGAUAGAAGAGGAAUAUGCUCUUAUGAGAGGUAUAAGUUCUGGUUUCUUGUCUCUUUAUUCUUUAUGUCUAUUGUCAUUAUGUUUUGUAGUUUGGUUUAUACUUUUAUGACCUUCACUGUUUUAGUUUUUCAGAAUUUGAACAUGUGUUUCAAGCUUGAAUGUAGCUGUUCAUAAGCAUACUGAGAGUUGGAGACUGAGGAUCAGUCUGUUGUUGUUGUUGUUGGUUUUGCCUUCUGGUUGCUUACUUAUGUUUUUUAAUUUUCACUUGAUCGGUUUUUAACUUUAAUGUCUACUUAUGUCUACACUUUUAUAUAAUGAAACUGCUAGUUUGUUGUUGUUGUUGUUGUUUUUGCCUUAUCCUUGACUAAUUCUUAUGUUGUUAUGAAGUAUGGAAAAAUUUACGAAUUGAUGGCUUUAAGUUUCAGCAUUGCGGGUUUUUAUUACAGGGUAAUAUCUAAGGUAAAUAGGCUAAUUUGGGCCAAAAACAUUAGAACACGACCUGAAAACAUCAAAGAUCCGAAAACUCGAAAACUGACCCGAUUUUUUUGGAACCGUAAAUUGCUAGGUAUUUACAGGUUCUUAGAAUCUGAACCCGAUCCGGUCCCGACAAGAUCCGAACCGAGAUUUUCAAGUUACCUUAUCGGGUCAUAAACUCUAAGACCCGAAGGACCGGGACUUGACCCGACCAGAUCCGACCCGAACCCAAUCCGAAGAUCCGAAUGCCCAUACCUAUCAUGUUACAUGACAUAUAUAUAUAUAUAUAUAUAUAUAUAUAUUAUUAUAUUAUUAUAAUGUUCUCAUAGAAGAGAAGAAAAUCAUUUAAAAAGCAUAGGUCUUGACAAAACUUUAAAAAGCAUAGGUUUUGAUUCAUAUAAUUAGAGCCCUCAAUUAUUUAAUACAUAAAUCUUAGCAAGAAAUAUGUUACUAUUGCUUGAGAGUUGAGACCACCAAGUUCUUGUAAUCCCUUAAAGUAUAUACUUUGCUGGAGUAGAGUUUUGGUUUAAAACUUUAUUGUACCAUGGAUCAGAGAUGUAUGUGGCCAGAAGGAAGACUCUUAGAUAUGGAACUUUUUCAAAUUAUUUAAUUUUUAUAAGUGUAUAUGAAUCGACUGAGUACAAUCUUGAAAUGAUGUUGACGUGUCACUGAAAACUUAAGCAUUGGAUAUUGAGAAAAUUAUAACAUAGUUAAGUCAUAAAAUUAAAGCUGUCGUAAUGUCACAAAAACGCAAAUCACAUAUACAAAGAACCAUGAAAGACUAAUAAAUCUCUUAAUUUUAAUCAUAAAUUUAUGUAAAAUGCAUCUCUCUAUUCGUAUUUAUUUAUUUUUUUUGGCAAAAAUGAUUGUACAUAUAUAUAUUUCGAAACUGAUUGUACAUAUUUUGCACAUCUUCAAUUGUUAUGAACGCCGAGAAACAUGAUAAUGUCAGAAUGUAGAGAGGACUUUGUGGAUGCAUGCAUGUGCAUGAACAUGUGUAAUCUGUUUUUACUUUCACCUUUUAAUGUAGCAAUAAAUACUAAAUAGAUCAGUAAAAAAAAAAUCAAAUAGACAAUUCGAUGUAGUGCUAUUUAUGUGGAGGCGAGUAUAAAUAUGUACACUUAAAUUUUUUUUUUUGGACAAAUGCACACUUAAAUUUAAAAACAAGAAAAAUGGGAUUCGUAGAACUGUGGGGUCAAACGGGGAGAUAGGCCUGGGCAUUCGGGUCGUCGGGUCAGAUUCGGAUCGGUUUCUUUCGGGUCUGAGUUUUUUGGGUCUAAGAGUUUAGGACCCGAUAGAGUAAUUUUAAAUUUUCGGUUCCGGGUCGUUUCGAGUCGUGCCGGGUUCGGAUCGGGUCGGGUCUUAGAUAGUUAGACCCAUUCGGGUAAUUAGAAUUUAUCGGUUUGGAUUCGGUUCGGUUUCGGAUCGGGUUCGAUCUAAAAAAGACCUAAAAAUACAAAAAAAUAUCUGAAAAUAUUUAUAUAUCCGAAAAUAUUCAAAAUUUUAUUCAACAUUUGUGUUUUUAUUAUACUAAAAUGUGUAUAUAUACUAAACUAUGCGAAAUACAACAACAAUUCGUUGUCUCCUAGUGGUUGACCCCAUGUUCUCUGGACAAAUAACUUGUCUUCGAUUCCCUCUUGAUGCAUUUUAUUUAAUUUACAUUAUUAAUUCGGGUACCCAUCGGGUUUCGGGUUUGGGUCGGGUCGGGUCCAAGACCCGCGGGUCCUCUGCAACAAAACCCGAUAGGGUAAUUUUCGGAUCGAUUCCUACACGGACCGGGUUUUUUCUGGUCGGUUUCGGGUCGGAUCUUCGGAUCCGGGUAAAAUGUCCAGGCCUACGGGGAGAGUCACCUUUUUUUGUGUGUGUGCACGAAACGAAAAGAGUCACCUAACUCGCAAUCUAAAGGUAGAUCCGUAGAUAACGUGGGAUGUGACCGGUCAGCUUUCAGCUAAAAGCAAUUCAACCGAAAAUUUGCAUAUUAAAAAAUAUAGAUAUUUUAGUAACAUUUUUAUAUACAUACUCCAUCGAUCAAAGUAUCAGAAAACAAUUUCCUGCAAACCAGUCCUAAAUAAUAUGCGAUAUGUUCAAAAAGACCAACAUAAUAAUGUUCAAAAAAAAAAAAUAAUAAUAUGCGAUAUGAUAGAGAAAGAUCCUAGAAAAAACAACUCUUCAGGGUAAAGGGGUUAAAUAUUACUAAAGGAUUACAUAUUCAGAGUUUCAAUUCAUACAACAACUUUGGAUGUUUUAAAUGGCUAAAUAUCUAAAUUUUCACAACACAUCAGAGAAAAAUCUAAAUUUUAGUAUGACGUUAUAUAAAAACAAGAUAAGAUCCUAAACACUUCGUGUACACUAUAAUUCAAAAUACGAAUAUCUCUUAUAUAUUAAAGGAGAAGCAUUACACACUAUAAUGGAUACGUGGUAGAUUCACAGCGAUUGAAAAAUAAGUACGCUGAUGUAUCAUGUGUAAAAAGCUUCUCAGCCAAAUUCUACACAAAUGUGUUCUCACUAAGUAUUUUAUAUUUUUUUUAAUAUAAAACUCAUAUGCAUAGUUCCACGGAUUAUACAAAGGUUUCACAUAGAAAGAUAAUUUACAAAAACUAAUUGACAUAUCUUCUCCUUCAUAAACCUUUCAAACUCUCUUAUACAAUAUAUAUGUGUUUUUAAUCAAUACUAAACUCAUAUACAAUUUCGAGAAGGAAAGAUAGAGUGAAGUAAUAUAGAGAAAUAGAAAGAACUUCCGGUAAUGGAUUCAAAAAGAUCGAGUGAAGAUAUUUGUUGAAUUUCUACGAAUGUGUGUACACGUUUUAAAAUCUUAGGCUUUUUGUUUUUUAGCAGUCCCAACUGUAAAAUAUUUGUUGCCAUAAAUGAUUAAUGUUAAAAACUGAUUGGCCAAGAUACAACAUAAUAUACCAAAAAAUAAAAUGCAGCAAGCCAUUAUAUAUAUAUAUAUAUAUAUAUAUAUAUUAUUUUUAUUACUUACAGAUACAAUUUGAUUUUUUAUAUGAAAAAAAUUCACUAAUGUGCCUAUUUUAUUUUUAAUUAAUUUUAUUUUAAGAAUUGUAUCUUUCAUGUGUUAUUUUAAACAAAAAUGACUUUUAAUAUUAAUUAGCAGUAUCUUUAUAUAUGUAUCAACUACUUUUAUACACUUUUACAUACACAUACAUGUGCACAUUGACGUGAGCACCUAUAUAACUAAAUAUUCACCACAAGUGAAGUAUCCAAUUCUUUUGAAAGUUGAAAUAUUCUUUGUCUUAAUGCUUCUUUUACUAUCUACCUAAUUAUAAUGAAAUAAUUCGUCUUAAUAAUUUUGUUUUCUUUUUGUUCAACUAUUAUUCGUUUAAAAACUAUAAUAUGAAACUGUUGGUUCGACAUCAGGACUAUCUAAAAUUCUUAUAACAUGAAACUAAACAAAUAAUAAUAGUUUUUGGUUAUCACCAAAAAAAUCAAAAUAUCAAACAUUUAACCGAACAAAUCAAAAUAAAUAUUGAUUUGGAUUGGUAGUUAUAUUUUAGGAGAUUAAACCCGAAAACCAACCUAAAACCGAACCGAUAUUCAGAACAAACAUAUUUAAUGUUUUCUUAUUAAAAAAUAACAAAAAUAACAACCACAUUCUGCGCAAGACGUGGAUUAUUACCUAAUUUUUAUUAAUUCAGUCUACUAUGUCUGAUAAUAUUCACACGACACCCUUUUGUUAUGUGUUAGAAGGUGCUCACAUCAAGGUGCACAUGUAUGUUUAUGUAAAAAGUAUAUAAAAAUAGUUGAAAAAUAUAUAAAGAUAUUGUUACUUAAUAUUAAAUGACAUUUUUGUUCAAAAUAAUAUAUGAAAGAUAAAAUUAAAAUUAAUUUAAAAUAAAAAAGAUCUUGACAUUAGUCAUUUUUCAUAUAAAGAAAAUAAAAAUAUAUUCGUAAAUAGGGAUGGGCACAUAUCAAAUAUCUGGGUAUUUGAAAGCAUUAUUGUCGAUUCGAUAUUUAACCACCUAGAUAUUCGGUGACUCGGAUAUCCGAAAUAUUUUAAAAUUUUAAAGAAUAUCUGAUUUGAUUCGUAAAUAAAAUAAAAUUUUAAAAUAAUUUAAUAAUAACAUUUUAUUACAAAAAUAAAACAUUAUAUAACCUUUUAAAUUCUAGUACCUAAUAUAAUAAAUUUAAUUCAUAAAAAUAUUUUAAAACAGAUAUAAAGUAUAAUAUAUAUAACAUAUAUAUAUAUAUAUAUAUAUAAUUCUUUACAUAUAUGUAUAUAUGCAUAUAACAUAUCGAAUUAGAUAUAUGUUCCUAAAAAUAUUGGUAUUUGUGAUUUGCUUCUUUUUUGGAUAUUGUAUUUUAGUAUUUGAUUUGUUUCGUAGAGUUUCAAAUAUCCAAAUUUUUUGGUUCAAAUCAAAACGGAUAACGAAUCGAAUCAAAUUUUAUGAAUAUUUUGCUCAACUUUAUCCGUAAAUAUAAAAAUAAUAUAUAUAUAGUUUGGUUUUUGAUUCGUUAUCUAUUUUUAUUCGAACCGAAAAAUUCGGAGUUUUAUUGGAACCAUGUAUGUGAGUUUUAUAUUUAAAAAAACACAAAGUACAUAGUGUGAACACAUUUAUGAUUAUAGUGUGAACGCGUUAUCAUAUUUAUUAUCAAAUCAUUGUGAGACUGACACGUGUCUAUUAUAAUGUGAAUGCAUUUAUUACAAUGUUUUUCUUUUAAUAUAUAAGGGAUUAAGAAAACUAGCAAAACAUGCGUUUUUUGCAACGUCUACAACUUCGAUUCAUCAUGUUAACUUCUAAUCGACUCGUAAUCUUUCUUUUUGUUCUUUGUUUUGGUCGGUGAGCGAAACAUUCUCACCCAUAAAUGAUUUCUUCAAGUUUAUCAACAACAAAAAAAAAGGAAAAGAAGGAAAUCUUGGCUUAUCGCUAUCUAAAAGUUUAUGCAUUAAAGAGGAAACUGCUGAUGAAAAAGAGGACACGUGGAGAUUUAGGGUAUAUGAAGUGGAAUGGGAUGUCGUGGCUUUACUGACAUCGUCUCAAUCUUUUGGCAACUAAAGAUUCCGUGCCCUUCUCUUUUGCUAUGCACCUACGCAAACACGUAACGCUAUUCAACUUCUCAUUUUUUUCCAAUAAGAUUCAGAUAAUAUACAACUAUACAAUAAUAGAUAUUUAUAUAUAUUUUUUUUUUGCUAAGAAUGUAAAUAACAUUAUAAACGAAAAAAAGGUUUGUACAGAAAGCAGACCUAAAGAAAGCAACACUUUGGCAAAAAGUGGAAAAACAAAGUGAAGCAUUUGAGAGACCAAUGAAGGCCUUUUAUCUUAACCACAACGACAUGAGGCCCCGGAAAUGCUUCCGCUGCCUCCUUGCUGAGAUAGAGUUUUUAAUGUCUCUGUCUAUUGAUCUGAAAAUUGCGUCCGGGGAGAGAGAGAGAUUCCAUUAUGCAGUACGUUAGUACGCUGCCUCCAGAUAUGGUAAAUAGUAGACUGGCCAACGAGCAUUCUCAGUACUGCUAUACAAUAAUAUUAACAGGAUAAAUAGUAGACUGACCAACUAUACAAUAAUAUUUGCAUGACGUAUAUCCAAAAGGAUAAUGCAUGCAUCUUAACAGCCGUAUUUGGUCAGAAUAUAAACAUUAAAUUGAUUGCCGAGCUAGUUGGGCAUGUGGUUACCAUCUCUACUCUGCUUCUCGGGCGUGUAAUGUUUUUUUGUGCGAGUUAAAAAAAAUGAGGGAACUAGAACUAGACAGAACGUAUAUCUACAAAUAUGAAUGCGUAUUAGUAUAUAAUGACAUGUACCUUUGUUAGAUAUCCAUAAGAACACGUUUUAAGAUUUAUUCUGACUUUAGCGGAAAGUUUUAGCCAAUACAAGAAAAUAAAUUUAUGAUACAUGAUUGGUUGGAAUCUAAAUGAUUUCCAUAGCCCUAAUAAAAUGCAUUACAAUUUAUAUGAAGAAUGGUUUAAGCUGCGUGAAACAUUGUUUUGAAUAUUGGACCGAAUGCAUUAUAUAAAACUUUGAUCCUAAAGUACACGUUCUAUCCGUGUGACAACAAGUUAAAAUAAAUAAUUCAUUUAGAGAAAAAUAUUAUAAAUAUAAAAAUUUUAUUCAUGUGCGAAACCCAGUCUAAUAUAGAUUUUAGCUUUUAGUUAUAAAAUAGAAGAACUAAGAAAAAAAAAUAUUUUCUAAAAAAAUAAAAAAAUAUACAUAUUUUAAUGAAAUCAUGUUAGAUAAAAAUAAGUUUUAGAAAAUCAAAAAUCAAAAACUAUUUUAAAAACUGCAAACAGUCGGUCAAUCUCACAAUCUUCCAUCAUUGAAAUAUCUUUGUAUGUGAGGGCUGAGAAAAAGUAUUCAAGAAUCAUAUAAUCUAAAUCCUUUUCAUAUAUUUAUUAUAGAAAUAUUUGAAAUAAAAAAUCUCUUUCAAACCUAUAUAUCACAAUGACUUCCAAAACCACUCAUCAUAGUUAACUGGUUAAAAAUACACCCAAAGAUUACAAAACCAGGAGUUCAAUUCAUACAACUGCAAUUUCAGUUGACAACUGCAAAUCUUUUAUUGGCUAAAUAUAUAUGUUUUCUCUAAAUCUCAGAGAUUAUAGAAGGAUGCUUAGGAUUUAAAGACCUUCCGGACUUUAAUACUGCUAUGCUUAGAUAUCAAUUUUGGAAGUUGAUAGAGAAACCAACCACGUUAUUCUCCCGAAUUUUUAAGGGACAGUAUUUUAAGAAUACAUCACCCCUAGAACCGAUUAGAUCGUACUCGUCGCUGGCGCAGUUUUGUCUUUGCUAGAUCUCUGGUUAGCAAAAGACUAAUCAAAAGGGUGGGAUCAUGAUCGUCUAUUUCAGUAUAGAUGAUCCUUGGCUCUCAUCCACUUGCUCGAGACCAGAAAAUAAAAAUCAACAUAACCUUUACCCUCACCUUACAGUGAACUCACUCAUCAAUGCAACUUCGAGAACAUGAAAUUUACAGACAACUAGGUCUCUGGUGGAUCCUCAUGAUGCGAAGAUUAUUGAAAGUAUACCUUUGAGUCGAAGCCAGAUAGCAGAUCGUGAUGGAUGGCAUUUUACUAAUAAUGGGAGAUACACGGUUAAGUAAGGAUAUCAAUUGGAAUGAGUGUACCCGAACAGAGAAAGAACACUGGCAGAGUACGGUCCUUCGGUAUCUUCCCUAAAUGCUUUUUGUUGGAAAGUUUGUUGCCACCUAAUCAUGUGGUUUUAUGGCAACUGGUCUCAGAAUGUAUAGCGGUUAAGAAAAAUUUGAGAUCUAGAGAAAUUCAGAGUUAUACAAUGUGCCCGUUGUGGAGCACCUAAGGAAUCCACAAAUCAUGUGGUUUUUUAGUGUCUACCGGCGGUUCAGAUCCGGGUGCUCUCACGAAUACCAACAAAUCCAUGUAUAUUCCCACUCAGUCUCUUCGCAAACAUGGAUCAUUUAUUUUGGCGAGUUUUACCAUAUUUGGAAGAUCAUCAAUUUGCAUGGAUUUUAUGGUACAUAUGGAAAGGAAAAAACAAUAAAGUUCUUAGCAAUUUGGAUGUGGACCCCAUAGAUACUCUCAAAUUGGUAGAAAUGGAGUCUUUGCUUUGGACUGCGGCACAUGCUUCACUUACACAGAGAACUGAUCAAUCUAGAUUGGUGAUGGACGAAACAUUGCCGACCAUACCAGGUAGAUGGUAUGGAUCAUGGAAAGCUCAGGAAAAUUACUCUAGACAAGGGUGGUAUAAUACAUUGGCAGGUUUUGAUGGUUUAAUGGGGGCGAGGAACACAAGAGUUAGUCAAUCACCAUCCCACUCGGAAGCAAAUGCUCUCAUUUGGGUAAUGGAAUGUAUAAAAAAUUUAAUAUAGUUUAAUGUUAUAUUUACAAUGGAUUUUUCUCAGUUGAUGAAGAUGGUUUCAGAAUCAGAUGAAUGGCAAGCCUUACAAGUUAUUUUGAAGAUAUCAAGAUCCUGAAGGGAAGAUUCCACAGUUCAGAGCUCAUUCAUAUAUCACAGACACAAAAUACCCAGGUGGCUAAGUAACCGUCGUUUGUCGUUCAUAUGGAUGCGGAGCUACCAGUUUAGUUUGUAGAAUCUACAUGCAUCUGCUUAAGUUGAUUACAAAAAGAAAAAAACAUAACAAGAUCCUAAACAUUUCAAAUCUAUUAUAAUUUAAAUAUGAAUUUUAUUAUUAUUAUUUCAAUCUACAUGUUGUAAUAAUAUUUACCUAACAUCCUUGAUUAUAAAUUCAUGUCAAAGGUUAAAAACAUUCAACAAUGUCAAUUGAAAAAAUAAUUAUGCGUCAAAUAAAGUAUAGUGUUCAUUUUACCGUUAGACAUGCAUUUUUUGUAUACAUGUGUAUUUAAGUUAUUUUGAACUAUAUUUCUAAUAGAUGGUGAUGCAAGAACGAAGAUGUAACAAAGGAAACAAAAAGACGACGGCAAUUUCUCGUCACGAAUUUUGUGGUUGAAGGUGAUUUUAAAGAUAAAGAGGGGUUUUCUACAAGAAAUCCACCCACGAUGUCAUGUAUUCCCAUGAAGGAUCCCACGUCCUUUCGUUACAAAUUAGCCACACAACGGUUAAAGAGAGAUGAAGCCUAUAAAUUUCCAACUCAAAAGAUGAUUUCACUCACAUUUUUCUCCAAUUCGUUAGCAAACCUCUUGAUUCACUUCUGGAAAUUAUUUAUUUAUCAUAGUACAAUGGAAGACGGAAUUCGACGAGCAUUACAAGAAAUCAAUUUGGGAUUCAAUGAUGCAUCGUUUGCUUACCCACGGAAGUGGUCCAACAAGUGUGAGAGGAAAACUGUUUUAUCAUGGUGGGGCGACUGGUUAUAUGCCUAAAAGACAAUCUCUAUGCAAUUGUGGCCUCUAUGAAAAGAGUUUGGGGAGUGGACGGUAUAUUUCAAGGAUGUCUCAUGGAAGGGCAUCGAUUCCAAUUUGUUUUUCCUUCGGGGGAGGCCAUGGACACAAUUAUUCGAAGGAGUCCUUGGGCUUUUGCAGAGAGAAUUCUAGUGUUGCAGAGGUAGACAACAUUAGGGGUGGGCACUUUACCCGAUAUCCAAAGUGGCAUCCGAACCCGAACCGAAAUCCGAACCGAAGUAGCAAAAUACCGAACGGGUAUUGAAUUAGGAGAGAUUGGAUACCCGAACCCGAACGGAUAAUACCCGAACCCGAAUGGAUAUCCGAAGAUAACCGAACAUAUGUAUAAUUAACCUUAUAUUUCUACUUUACAUCUCUCAUUUUAUAUAAAACAUUUAUAUUGAUACUACAUAUACUUUAAAUUCAUAUGAUAUAUAUACAAUUACGAAAAAUAUGAUUUGCUACUCACUUAAAAUGCAUGUCAAGUUUUUUACUUCAAAAAAUAAGAAAAAGUUACAUCAAAAUUUUAAAAACAAUAACUAAAUUAAUGUUUUUUUAGUUUCAAAAUGUUAUGUCCAAAUCUAUUAACCAUUCAAUCUAUUAAAAAUAAAAAAUAAGUUAAGUGAAAUUUAUAUUUUUAAAUACAAGAAAUUUGAGAAAUGAAAAUAUAAUUAUUUUUUUUCAAAAGCUAAAUAUCCGAACCCGAUCCGAAAUAACCGAAUCCGAACUAAAAAUACUCGAACCCGACCCGAAGUACAGAAAUACCCGAACGGGUUCUAUACCUCUAUACCGAAAUACCCGAAAAUCUGAAAUACCCGGCCCGAACCCGAACUGGUACCCGAACGCCCACCCCUAGACAACAUUGAUGGAUAUUGAAUUUUUUAAUUUCAUUUCUUUUUGGAUACAAGUUAGAAGCAUUCUUUUCCAGUUUAUGAAUUGUGAAAUGAUUCUUCAUAUUGCAAGAGCAAUGGGACAGUACAUCUUGAUGGAGUACAAUGAAGAAGCUAGUGGAAGACUGGAUUUUUUCGCAUAAGGCUGAAUUGGAAUGUGGCUCAUUCUUUGAAGUUUUAGAGACAUUUUCAGUCCACCCUUGGUGUUAAUAAACUUUUCAAAUUUCGUUAUGAGAGGCUAAGAGAUUUUUGCGAAGCUUGUGGAAUGCUCUCUUACGUAAUCAACAAUGGAGGACUAGGACCAGAUGAUGGGGAUGAUGACAGUGGAGACGAUAAUGAUGAGGAAGAUGUAGUUCAUAAUCAAGGUGUCAUAACUGAGGAAGUCAAUGAAGAUGAAGCUAAAACAGAGGAGGAUCAGCCUGAAGAGUAGAACAUGUCCAAGUAAAGUAUAAGAGGGAUGUGGGGGAUUUUGAGAAUGACGCCAAUGAUGAUGAGUUACGGAGUAGAGCAGCUAGGAAGAUGACGUUUUCCAAAGAUCUAAAUCAGGAAGAGAUGUUCAAUCAUGUCAACCCUUUUGGCAUUCACAAUGGUGUGGAUCCAAGUCUUAAAAGGAAAGCAUGGAUGGAAGAAGCUAAUUAAUGGUAAUACUUCAAUAUUUACUAAACAAGAGAAUGGAGAAUCCAAUAUAUGUAAGGAUGUGAAGCGUAUGAAGAGAAACACUCACCUUGAUGAUGAGGAUGCAGAUGACCUGGAACAAGACAAAACUAAGCAGAGAGGUGCGGUGGGUCCAGAAUAACAUAUUCAGCCAUGAAGACACUAAGUUGGAACUUUCGAGGUCUAGGCAGUGACUCGACAGUUUGACGCUUCAAGAGAUACAUAGGAAAUAUCUCCCAUACAUAUAACCCUAUCGGAAACAAAGCAACAAUAUGACUACGUGAGAGACGUAGGAGCUCUGUUAGGUUAUCUGCAUUCUGUUUUAGUUUCUCCGGUUGGAAUGGGUGGUGGUUUAGUAAUAUAUUUUUUGAAGCACAUUCAGCUUUCUGUUCUUAGUUGUUCCUCAAAUCUCAUUGAUUGUAAAGUUAUAUGCAUUGAAACUCAGUGUUACUUGCCGUUUGUAUAUGGGCACCCAAACUAGGCUUAUAGACAACAUACUUGGGAAAAAAUGAUGUGUCUUGGUAUAAAUAGAAGAAGAGAACCUUUGUUUGCUCUUGGAGAUUUCAAUGAGAUAGUUGGUAAUAAAAAAAAGAUAGGUGAACGAGUAUGAUCAGAGGCUUCAUUUCAUGAUUUUAGAAGAUGAUGAGUACUUGUGAUUUCACUGAUCUUCAGACUAUUGGUAAUCAUUUCUCGUGAGUUGGACAAAGAGGAAACCAUCUUGUUCGAUAUUGUCUAGAUCGUACAUUGGCGAAUAGUAGAUGGUAUGAUAUGUUCCAAUUUCUCAUACUACAUUUCUUGAAAUUGGAGAAUCGGAGCAUCGAGCACUGGUUACGUUCGUGUCAGCGGAUAGAGAAGAACCUCAAAGAUUUUCCAAGUAUGAUAAUCGUUUGUUACACAAGGACGGUUUCCAAGAUAUUAUGCAUAGAUGUUGGAGUGGUAUGGGACAAGCACAACUAAUAAGAGUUCCUCUGGCACAUAGAAUAAGUAGAUGCAUACAACAUAUUUCUAAAUGGAAAUGACUCAAUAGGAACAAAUCAGAGGAAAAGGUAAAGAGAUUACAAAGUAAGCUAAAUAAAGUUUUCAUCUCCAGUGCCAUUUCUCUUGAGGAAACGAAUGCUAUAAAAGAUGAACUUCACCAAGCGUAUCUUUAGGAGGAGAUAUAUUGGAAGCAGAAAAGUUAAAUUAUAUGGUUACGGUCAGGUGAUAGGAAUACUAGCUAUUUUCAUGAAAUCACAAAGGCUAAGCGAAUAAGGAAUACAAUAAGUUCUGUUCGAGAUGAUUAAGGAGUCAUACGUGAAGGGCACAAAGAAGUUUCAGAAGUUGCUACAAAGUAUAUUAAGAGUUUGUACGCGUUUGAAGAGACUAAUUCAGAGUUGUAUUCAGAAUUUUUCUCUGGGUUUAGACAACGAGUUACUCAAGAGAUGAAUGAUGAUUUAACAAGACCAAUCACUGAGGAAUAAAUACAGGCUGGUAUGUUUGAUACGGGGCCUCAUUGUUCUCCUGGAUCAGAUGGGUUCACUGUUGUAUUUAACCAAAAUUUUUGGGAUGAUUUCAAAGCUGAUAUAAUGCAAGAAAUCGAGGGAUUAUUAACUUAGGAGUGAUGGACAAACAAUAUAACCAUACCAACCUCGGUCUCAUACCAAAAAUAUUUCUACCGAGUGAUAUGAAAGAUUUUUCCUAUUGUUGUGUGUAAUGUUUUGUAUAAGAUCAUUUCUAAAGUGUUGGUGAACCGUCUGAAGAGCCAUCUACCCCAUAUUGUUGCGGAAAACCAAAAUGCUUUCAUCUCAGGUAAAUUGAUUUCAGACAUUGUUGUUGCUCAUGAAAUUUUUCAUAGCCUUAAGUCACGGAAGAGACAAGCUAACUCCUAUAUAUCUGUUAAGACUGAUAGUACAAAAAAUAUGAUCGCGCUGAAUGGAGAUUUAUACAGGAAACAAUAUAGUGUAUGGGAUAUAGAGAAAAGUGGAUUUGGUGGAUCAUGGCUUGCAUAUCUAUCGUCACCUAUUCAGACCUAAUCAAUGGAACUCCGAAGGGGUAUAUCAUCCCAGAAAGAGGACUAAGACAAGGAGAUCAUUUAUCUCCUUAUCUUUUUUUUUUCCUUUGUGCAGAAGUUUGUCAAAAGUUAUGGAAGAUAGAUCAUUACUCGGAGUUAAAAUAGCUAUUCAAGCACAUGCACUUAGUCAUCUUCUCUUCGCAAAUGAUUUUCUUUUCUUCUCUCUAACCAAUUUGAAGGCGGCAAACAAGUUAAAUGAUAUUUUCAACAAGUUCAAAUCAGUCUCAACUUAAGCUAUUAAUAUCUUUAAGUCUACUAUAACCUUUGGAAGUUAAGUUCGCUCUGAAGUAAAGACAAGGAUGAGGAAUGUGUUGGGAAUUCAUAACAAUGGUGGUAUAAUGAACUAUUUGGGUUUUGCUUGAACAGUUUGUAUCAAAGAAAAGUGAGAAGUUCUCAUAUGUUAUCGAUAAGUUAAAAAUGAUUUUGUAAGGAUGGAAGCAGAAACAUAGUUCACAUGGUUGCAUAAAUGUUCUCCUAAAAGUUGUAGCCCUUGCGAUGCCAGUAUAUUCAAUGAAUAUUUUCUGAUUACCAAAAGAAGUUUAUGAAGAGAUCAAUGCUAUUUUAACUAGAUUCUGGUGGGUUCAGGAACUAACAGAGGAAUACAUUGGUAUGCUCGGAAAAGAGUUUGUAUCCCUAAGAAGGAAGGUGAUCUUGGUUUCACAGAUCUGAAGCAGGUGUGGAGAAUAAUGCAAAAUCGCAACUGUCUUGUGGGUAGGAUUCUUCGAGCCCAUUACUUACUUGAUGGCGGUAUUUUGAAGGCUACAUUGAAGAAUAAAUCUUUUUAUGUUCGGAAAUCGAUAAUGCAUGAAAAGGAGGAAUGAUAUAUAUAAUUGACAAUGGUACACAAACAAACAUGUGGACAUAUCCAUGGUUAUCUAUUCACCCUCCACAGACUCCACGGCCAUUGAGAGGAGUAAAUCCAGCUAUUAAAACCUCUAAUUACUUCAAUGUUAUAUACCAAAUCUGGUUGGAAUAUAGAGAAACUCAGAGAAGAUGUUGUUACAGAAGACAUAGAAAUGAUUAUGGUCCUUAAAAUCAGUUUAAAGGCUCAAUAAGACCUGAUGGGUUGGCAUUAUAAUGAUAACGGUAUCUAUUCGGUUAAAUCAAGGUAUUCGUUAGCUACUCAUCUCCCAGAUAGCAACUAUAUUUCCCCAACAUAUGGAGAUGCGAGGCUGAAACAUUGAAACAUUUUCUUUGGAUACUUUUAUCCAGAAGUAUUGCAACUGGAAAUAACCUGAGAAAAAGAUAUGUUACGACGGAUGUUAUAUGCAAGAGGUCUUGGAUGGAGGAGGAAACAUAAGAACAUCUUUUAUUUUAUUUUAUAUAUCCUUAAAAAAAUGGAGGGCACCUUGAAAAGCUAAUACAAUCAUUGAUAGAUAGUUAGAUGGAAACAUUGGAAGAAAAACUUGAGGCAUGUCUUCAAUACUCUGCUUCCGCAUCACUUAAUCAUUUCUAGGAAUUACAAAUCUAGAUAUUAUGGGGAUAUAAAAAAGUAGAAAUGUGUUAUUAUUUGGGAAAAGCCAAUUGAAUGUUUUGUUAUAUGCAAAAAGUGAUGUUAGGAAAUGGAAGUAUAUGGAUCAGGAAGAUAAAUAUGAUUUUCAAGUAAGUAAUGUCACAUAUUGAAUAAGGAAAAAAAAACCUUGUACAACACCACCAUACAAUUGGAUCAAAUGUAAUGUGGAUGAAUCUUUUAUUAGUUCACAAACAAAGGCUACGAUAGGAUAUAUGGGUUGUUUGUGAUGGAAGAGGACGUUAUCAAGGUGCAGUACAAGCUAAAGGGUAUAAGGUUUGCUCUCAUUUGGAAAGUGAGUUACAAGCCAUUCUAAUGGCUAUAUAAUAUUGUUGGAGUCAAAGAUAUGGAAAGAUCAUCAUCGCGUCAAACUGCAAAAAUAAUGAAAAUACUAAAUAAUAGGUUCUACAUUUUCCUACUUACACCUGGAUAAGAGAGAUUAGGUGGUGGGCCGAUAAGUUUCAGGAAUUAUCGUUCCAAUGGACCGGUCGGGAAUCAAACAAGGAGGCAUAUAUUUUAGCAAAACAAAGAUCUCCAACUAUGUCUUCUUAUUAUUUUCACUAUUAUGUACCUACAAAGAUAUCAAGUUUUCUACAUGUGGACUAUGUACUUGCUCGAUUAUCUUAAUAAAGAUUAAGAAGUUAAAGAAAAAACCAUAUCCUUAAUUAAUGUUCCCAAAUUUUAACUAUGUCUUUGUAUAUGUAGUAUAUUUAUACCUUUUAAACUUGCUCAGUUUUUUUUCACAUUUAUAUAAUUAGUAUACAUCAUAAUUAAAUCUUAAUUAACUUAGACUAAUUUAUAAAAUAGCCUUUUCAUUUUUUUUGUCCGUUUCUGUAUAAAUGGUAGAUUUUUAGGAGUAAUUUGAAUCAGAUCUGAUUUUCCUGUACCUAGAACCAAACAGUUGCUGAUACCGAAUAACAUGACGUAAAGUAUAGAGGUACAAGAAAAUCAAUUUUUGUACUAAACCAAUACUUUAAUGUACUGUUAGUUAUAAGUAUAAGCCCAAUGACAUCUAAGGCCCAACCUGAUCGGCCCAGCUCCUCAUUUAUCAACGGUCAAGAACACGCAACAACCAUGUCGUCGAAAGGUGUGCUUCGUACAGGACAUACAGCCAAGGAUCUACAGCUGCACAAGCGGUUUGAAACUUUAGGAUUGUGUGCUGUCACCUGCUGAGCUAUACCCUAGCUAGCUUCUGCUGUGUACUCAGUCCUUUCCUAUAUAUUCAUCUCUUAUGUAAUCUCAAAUGUUAAGUUGAAAACAUCAAUAAAAAAGUUAUCUUCUUCAUAAAAAAAUCCUUUUAUCACCAAGCUUUUAACAAGUAGAUGUUUGCAUGUAUACAGAGGGCUAAAUCUAGAUUUUUUUAUUGGAUAUAUUACCAAUAAAAGCAUAAUUAAAAUAUAAAAUGUAUCGAAGUUGAGAUAUUAGAACUGCAAUCUUACUGUUUUAUAUAACAAAGUUUAAAUGAUUUUAUGCAAAAAGAAAACAAAAUUUAUUAUUAGUGCACUUGCAUCCAUAACUAUUAGCUGCCUUUGGCCUUAAAAUGUUAUGUCAUCAUUCAAUCAUAAACCCACUUUCAAAAUCUCAAAAUUAAGUAAGACAUUGGGUAAUUGAAAUUUUGUGUAUUUGAUUCAAAUUCUUCUACUAACAACAAUCACCCCUUCUUUCUCAAAAAAAAACAUCAAUCACCCCAAACACAUGAUAUUCAGAAAAUACUGUUAACAAAACAUGGGUUUGGGGCAACGUCAACAACUUUGAUUCAUCGUGUUAACCUUUUGUUUUGUUUCGAUAUGAAACAUUCCCAACGAUAAAUUAAAUAGUUUCUUCAGAAUUAUCAACUACGAAAAAGGAAAAGAAAAAAAGUCUUCGCUUAUCGUUAUCUAAAGUUCAUGCAUUAAAGAGGAAAUAGCUGAUGGAAAAAAAUGUCACGUGGAGAGCUGGGGUGCGUAAAGUGAAGGGGGGUGACGUGGCUUUACUGACAUCUCAUCUCAUUUUUUGGGGUAAAUUUGGACAGAACUAUUUUCCGACAAAGAUUUUUGUCUCUCUCUCAGUUUCCAAAGGGUCACUCAUUGAAGAUUCCGUGCCCUUCGCUUUUUGAUACCUACAGAAACACGUAACACGUUUCAAAUUUUCUUUUUCUUUCAAAUAAGACUCAGAUAGUAUGAAGAAUUAUUUUUUUUGCAUAUGACAUAUUAAAAAAAUGAGAGGAUGAAUAAAUUUAACAUUCCUAGUACAACUGUUUUUUCAGAUGAAUAAAUUUAACAUGCCGUAUUUGAUCACAAUUGUUCAGAUUUUAGAACUCCUUGGCAAUGUGGUUACCAUCUUUACUCUGUUUCUCAGGCAGUCAGGCUUUUUUGUUUGUUCGAGUUAAAACGAUAAGGGAUUUAGAACUAGACAAAGUACACACAUACAAAAAUACUGGAUGAGUAUUUUUAUUCAUAAUAAACUGAAACUUGAUAAAGCUAGUCAUUUACAAUAAAUGUACCUUUUGUUAGAUCAUGAAACAAAACUCGUUUAAAGAUAUAUUCUGAUUUUAGCAAAAUAAAAAUCAUUACAACAGUUAUAAGUUUACAAAUAUGAUUGGUUUAAAUGGAAAUAUAUAAUUGUUUGAGUGCCGUCCCAAAAAAUUCUGUGGCCUAAAGCAUAUUUAAAAAUAGUGGUUAACUUUUGUUUAAAUUUUUUUUUCUGUAAAAACGUAUAUUAAUUUAGAUCAUCAAUAAAUAUUAGGGAGUUAUUUUAUAAAAAGAAAGGAUAAAAUAACUUUUAAAUAAAAACUAUAAAACUGUCAAACUAUAUAUGAAAGAUGAAAAUAUAUUGUGAUAAACAUCUAAAUAAUCGAAUGAAAAAAAAAAUAUAUAGUAGCAAAAGCCAACUAACACAAAGAAGAAAAAACAUUACUCAAAAGAAAACCACGCUAACCAACAAAAAUGAGUAAAAAGAUGUUGCAUUAGACAUUGAGCUACAAUCAUUUUAUUGCAAUGUGGCCUUAAAAACUGUGAUUAAUAUGUGGCCUAAAGCACAAGCUUUAGCUGCCUUAUGGCAGGGACGGCACUGAUUGUUUCCGUCAACCUCCAUACAAAUUAUAGUUGCUCCCGUCAACCAUCAUCACACUCUAAUUAAUUUAGAAGAUAUAAAUCUAAUUAAAAACUCCACCUAAAAAGUUUGUUUACAAAAGGAAUCAUUUAUUUAAAUAUAGAACUAUGUAUGUAUCGUAUCGUAUCAUGUCAUGUUCAUUAUUUGACAGUCGCGGGCGAUUAUAGAACCACAAAAAAUCUGUAAAAAUUCUUGGUCUUCGCGGCCAAACCAAACCCCAUAUACUAUCACGUGGCUCAUCCUGACCUCAUCCAAAAUCCAUAAUUAAACUACCAUAUAAUAUGCCGCACGAAAUUCUCACGACGGCUACUUCAUUUUGAAUUAUUAGUUCAUCAAAUUUGAGCUACUAAAAACUUGGAACGGAGGAAAAAUAUGUCUGAACGUGAGAAUCCAAAUUAAAAAUUAUGAAACAAAGUGCGAUGAUAACGAUAAUAUAAAACGGUAAAAACAUUAGAAAACAUAUAUGAAAAAGAAGAAUACAUGGAGUAGUGAUUUGAUCAUUUUUUUUAAUUCAAUAAAUCACCCGUAGGUGAGACGAUUUCCCUACGAUUUUGAGUAUCGGAUUAAAACCACGUGAGAUUAUUUUGCUUCACUUAAAACAGAAUCUACGAACCAACUGUAACGCUAUAAUCUCGACACUUGACUGCCAUGCUAUACUCUCGUCACUUACUUUGAAAGACUAGAUGUAUUGCUAGAACUUUUGUAUGUGAAAGCUUACAUAUGAUUAAUUUGUCAGUUUUCAAGUGUAUGAGAGUAUAUCUUUAAUGGAGAGGUAAAAUGUCUAUUUAUAGGAGAGAUUCACAAAGUUUAGUUAUAAAACAACUUGACAUGUGUUAUUGAGAGGUUGAUUGUUUCUAGUUUUUGGAUUAGUUUUUGGUUUUUGUUUUUCAAAAAACUAUUUUGUAUCCAAUCAAGAUUUUGAAAGAAUAGAUUUCCUAAAAUGUAGGAAAACUAAUUUUUACAAGUAACUAUUUUUUUAACAUAAAAGCCAAAAACCAAGUUUUCAUGUUUUUUCUAAACCCACGGUAGUUUUUCAUUUUCUUAUAAAGUUAUUUUUAUUACUUUUAUUUUAAUAUAAGAAAAAUGAUAAAUACUAUAAACAAAUAAGGUUUUGUAAGAACCAUUUGUUUACUGAUGCCAAAAAAAAAAGAAUCAUUUGCUUACUAUUUAUUAAGUUUGUGAUAUAUUCUUUUAGUAAUUUUUAUUUUGUCUUAAAACAAGAAAUUAACUUCUAAGUUAUUUAAAAAAUAUCAGACUAAAAUAUAAUUAAUCAUUUUUUUUGACAAACCAAUAAGAUAAUAAAUUUUGAAUUCAGAAGUCAAAAUAGAUUUAUAAUUUUAUACAGAAAAAUCAUCAUUCAUUUUUUAUAAACAAAAACUACAGAAAAAUCAAAAUUUAUAAUAAAUAUUUUCUUAGUUUAAAAAACAAAAAUCUAAAGCUAGAAACCAAAAUCACCGUUCGUGUUUCUCCAAAAACUAAAAUCUACUGCAAAAUCAAAAACUAAAAAUUAAAAACCAAAAUCUAAAAACUAAAAACUAAAACCAAAAGCCAAAAACUAAAAUCUAAAAACCACGAAACAAUCAUCACCAGAGUUUACUUAAGCUUUUGACAUUUGUUACUAAGUCAUCAAGGUUAGACACCAAGUGAGCUUUAGCAUUUGCCAUUUGUCAUUAAGUUGCAUAACUUGGUCACUAAGUUAAAAUUAGUCACGAAGUUUACUUAAGCUUAAAUCAUUUGUCACCAGACUUAGCUUAGUCAUUAACAUAAUAAAUGGUUUUCUCCAUCAUUUCUCAGCCCAUGGGCUUGUAAAAUAUGAUGAAUUUUCUCCAUAUAUUGUACAAUAUUUACUUCACAUUAGAUUAGAUUUUUUACUCAACCCAAUAGGCUUGUAAAAUUCUAUUCACACAUACUUAAUUUUUACUCAGCAUAAAAGGCUUGUAAAAAUAGUUCCAACAAUCCCCCACAUGAAUAGAUAAAAUCUAAACAUAUGCAAGACUCGAAAGAACUUAUACAGACUCGACAGAUUCGACUGACUAAACUUAACUAAGACUAGACAUAUAGACUUUACGAGACUAUAAGCAAAAAAACUAAUUGUAUGUGAUGUGUAGUGUUUUCCAUCCUUGGACUACUCAUUGUUAGUAUCUGUAGGAUUUACUUUUCUCGUAGUGAACUUGAUGUCUUGAACCACCUUAAAGUUUAUGUAAACUGAGUCAACAAAUAUUAACACAGCUGUGUUUUCUCGUUGUGUUAAAUUCUCAUGUUUGCGUUUUGGCCGUGAACUUGCCUGGUGUUUCAUGAGUCAAGUUGGAGGGUGUAGCCUGAUCACCUCCUUGAAACGGUCUCAUUUCAGACUCACUAGGUGAUUGCCAUGUGCACCUAUCAUAAACACAAUAAAUUGCCAUGUUAUACUUUAUCAUCUUGGGAUAUGGGCAGGCUACAGUGCUUUUAUCGGAUAUUAUUUGAUUUAGUUAUCCCCUUGAACCAACUUCUUGGGAUCUCAUGUCUCGAUGGUGGGGUUUUCAUCAAACAUCCUUAGUUGUAGGCAAUAAACCCAUUCCCUUCGAUGAUUUUAAAAUUUGAUUUCCCAAUAAACCUUCAGUAAAUGGAUCCGCAAGGUUAUCAAUUGACUUUAUAUAGUUAAGAUAUUGCACCGCUUGGAUCAAGUGUCUAAUGGUCUUAUGACGUCGUCUUAUGUGUCGUAUCUUUCCAUUAUAGAGAGUGUUCAGUGCCCGAGCUAUAGCCCACGGACUAUCGCAAUGUAUGCGUAGAGUUGGGACUGGUUACUCCCACAUUGGAAUAUCUUCCAAAAGGUUACGAAGCCAUUCUGCUUCUUCAGUUGCUUGUCUAAAGCAAUAAACUCAGAUUCUAUUGUGGAUCUGGCCAAUACUGUUUGUUUGGAAGAUUUCCAAUAUAUCGCUGCACCUCCAAGUGUAAACACAUAUCCACUUGUGGAUUUCGAGUUCUUAGAGUCAGAUAUCCAGUUUGCAUCACUAUAUCCUUCUAAGACUCAUGGUUCUUUACCAUAGUGCAGCCCAUAACUUUUGGUGUAUAGUAGAUAAUUCAAUACCCUUGUUAUGGCUUUCCAGUGUAUAUUACAUGGAUUGCUUGUAUAGCGACUUAAUACGUUUACCGCAUGCGCUAAAUCGGGUCGUGUACAAUUGGUUAAGUACAACAGACUUUCAAAUACCUUUGCAUACUCCACUUGCGACACUAGACGAGGACACUAGCUCGUCUGCGUUUUUAGUUAAGUGCAAUUGAGUGUCUAGUUGGAGUUUUCGCAAUUCCAUUUGAGUAAUUUUUAAAAUUCUCAGGUAUCUUUUCAGCAUAAUGAUCCUGGGAUAAAAUUAUACCAUCAGGAGUUCUCAUGAUUUUAAUGCCGAGGAUAACAUCCGCAAAACCCAUGUCUUUCAUGUCAAACCGACUAUGAAGCAUGUUUUUGGUUCGUUGGAUGAUAUCUUUAUUACUGCCAAUGAUGAGCAUGUCAUCAAAGUACAUACACAACAAAACAUACCCGCUAGGAGUACAUUUGAAGCAAAUGCAUUUAUCAUAUUUAUUGAUGCUGAAUCUGUUUGACAUCAUUACAGUAUCAAACUUUUCAUGUCAUUGUUUCGGUGCUCGCUUGAGCCUAUACAAUGACCUCACAAGUCAAAAAACUUUUUGUUCUUGACCCUGGACUAUGUUGCUUCAUAUAUAUCUCAUCUUCUAAAUCUCACCUUAGAAACACAGUUUUAACAUCCAUUUAAUAGAUUUCCAAGUCUCUAAUGUUGCAAUUGCAAUCAAUAUUCUUGCUGAAGUUAUUCUCAUCACUGGAGAAUAGGUGUCAAAGAAAUCUAGACCUUCCUUUUGUAUUUUUCCUUGCACCACAAGUCCGGUCUUGUACUUAUCAAUUGAGCCAUCAAGUUUCAACUUGGUUUUCAUUAGCCAUCUACACCCUAGUGUUUUGAACCCCUGAGGUAACUCAAUUAACUCGUAGGUAUGGUUAUGCAUUAUAGAAUCUAUUUCACUAUUGACUGCUUUCUACCAAAAAGGUGCGUUGGGUGUAAACAUGGCUUCGGCUUAAGAUUUUGGCUCAUUCUCAGUGAGAACUACCUUUAUAAAAUAUUCACCAUACGACUUUUCCUUACGAGCUCUUUUGCUUCAUCUAGCUUCGUCUUUCAUUUCUUCUGCUUUAGUUACAGAAGUGCCAUAAGUACUUGUCUCAUUAAUAGAGGUCACCGCAUCUGUUUCUUCACGAGUGCGUUUUGGAUAUUGUUUAUCCUUACAUGGAAAUAUAUUUUCAAAGAAUGAAACAGUCUUUGAUUCCAUGAUUGUAUUGACAUGAAUGUCUGGUAUAUCUGAUUUAUGAACCAGAAACCUCAAAAGUUCAUAUAGCAUUUUGCCAGAUACCUUAUGAGGUAUUUUGUUGAGGAUUUCAUUUGCGGAGAGAAGAGCUUCCCCCACCCCCACCCNNNNNNNNNNNNNNNNNNNNNNNNNNNNNNNNNNNNNNNNNNNNNNNNNNNNNNNNNNNNNNNNNNNNNNNNNNNNNNNNNNNNNNNNNNNNNNNNNNNNNNNNNNNNNNNNNNNNNNNNNNNNNNNNNNNNNNNNNNNNNNNNNNNNNNNNNNNNNNNNNNNNNNNNNNNNNNNNNNNNNNNNNNNNNNNNNNNNNNNNNNNNNNNNNNNNNNNNNNNNNNNNNNNNNNNNNNNNNNNNNNNNNNNNNNNNNNNNNNNNNNNNNNNNNNNNNNNNNNNNNNNNNNNNNNNNNNNNNNNNNNNNNNNNNNNNNNNNNNNNNNNNNNNNNNNNNNNNNNNNNNNNNNNNNNNNNNNNNNNNNNNNNNNNNNNNNNNNNNNNNNNNNNNNNNNNNNNNNNNNNNNNNNNNNNNNNNNNNNNNNNNNNNNNNNNNNNNNNNNNNNNNNNNNNNNNNNNNNNNNNNNNNNNNNNNNNNNNNNNNNNNNNNNNNNNNNNNNNNNNNNNNNNNNNNNNNNNNNNNNNNNNNNNNNNNNNNNNNNNNNNNNNNNNNNNNNNNNNNNNNNNNNNNNNNNNNNNNNNNNNNNNNNNNNNNNNNNNNNNNNNNNNNNNNNNNNNNNNNNNNNNNNNNNNNNNNNNNNNNNNNNNNNNNNNNNNNNNNNNNNNNNNNNNNNNNNNNNNNNNNNNNNNNNNNNNNNNNNNNNNNNNNNNNNNNNNNNNNNNNNNNNNNNNNNNNNNNNNNNNNNNNNNNNNNNNNNNNNNNNNNNNNNNNNNNNNNNNNNNNNNNNNNNNNNNNNNNNNNNNNNNNNNNNNNNNNNNNNNNNNNNNNNNNNNNNNNNNNNNNNNNNNNNNNNNNNNNNNNNNNNNNNNNNNNNNNNNNNNNNNNNNNNNNNNNNNNNNNNNNNNNNNNNNNNNNNNNNNNNNNNNNNNNNNNNNNNNNNNNNNNNNNNNNNNNNNNNNNNNNNNNNNNNNNNNNNNNNNNNNNNNNNNNNNNNNNNNNNNNNNNNNNNNNNNNNNNNNNNNNNNNNNNNNNNNNNNNNNNNNNNNNNNNNNNNNNNNNNNNNNNNNNNNNNNNNNNNNNNNNNNNNNNNNNNNNNNNNNNNNNNNNNNNNNNNNNNNNNNNNNNNNNNNNNNNNNNNNNNNNNNNNNNNNNNNNNNNNNNNNNNNNNNNNNNNNNNNNNNNNNNNNNNNNNNNNNNNNNNNNNNNNNNNNNNNNNNNNNNNNNNNNNNNNNNNNNNNNNNNNNNNNNNNNNNNNNNNNNNNNNNNNNNNNNNNNNNNNNNNNNNCAACAGAACAACUUGCAACUUCUGCGUCAAGACCGCAACAACCAAGAUCUCCAAAAACUGUACCAACAGCCGUGAAGCAGUCAUUUACUACUUCGAUUGUAUGGUUCGCUACUCUGAUAGGUUCUUCCUCUCAGCUUUAGAGACACAGCCUAAUACCUUUUUGUGGUCUACCGAUCCAACACCCACAACAUUUGGUAAAUUUAGACAGAGUUUGGCUGAUAAAAUGGGUGAAGUUAUCGUCAGAUCGUCUAUGUUAUCUUCAUCACGUACUCCAUAUUAUCUUAUGGAUAUGACUAGGUUCGAUAACUUGUAUGAUCUUGAGUCUAUUGUUCAGUGCACUCCUUAUUUGGAUCCUGGAAACUGUACCACAUGCCUGAAACUUGCGUUGCAAGAGAUCAUUGACUGUUGUAGUGAUAAGCGUUGGGCUAUGAUCUGGACUAGGGCUGGGUUGCGGGUCAAACCCCCCCCGCCGACCCGCGAACAAAUAAAUUUGUACCCGCACCCGCCCCGCUUAAUUUUGCGAAUAACCCGCGGGACCCGCGGGUUAUAUUUUUAUUUAAAAAAAUUUUUAUUUAAUUUAUUUUUUGUAAAAUAUAAUAUAAAUAAUAUAUUUAUAAUUAAAAUUUUAAAUAUUUUAAAAUAUUUUGAUUAUUAUUUUUUAAAAUUCCCAUAUUUUCUUUUAAAAAUAUACAUUUUUACAGAAAAAAAUAUAUUUUUUUAAAAGUUUUUUUUUAAAAAACAAAUUGCAGGUUGGCGGAUACCCGCGUUUCAAAAUCCACCAACCCGCAUCCGCCCCGCAUAAAAUGCUCAUGAUCCACACCCGCACCCGCAAAUUAAUUUUUCUAAAUUGUUUGACCCGCAUCCCUCCGCGGCGGGUCAAACGGGCCGGACCCCGCAGGCAAAGAAUCAUAUUCCCAGGCCUACCCAUGGACUUGCAAAAUAUAAUGGACUUACUCUAUAUAAAGUACAACAUUUACCUAACAUUAGAUUAGAUUUUUUACUCACCCCAAUAGACUAGUAAAAUUAUAUUCAUACAUACUUAAUUUUAGUCAGCUUAAAAAACUUGUAAAAAAUAGUUCCAAUAAAAUAAUGAUGACAUAGCACCUAGAAUCCCAUUAGUGAAAUAUCUUUGAAUGCGAGGUUAGGAAAAUUAUUCGAGAUUCGAUAAUCGAUCUAACCUCUAACCUACAUCCUUAUAUAUAUAUAUAUUUUUUUUCCUAUAGUAUUAUCUUAUAAUUAAGAGGGUGAUAUCUGAUACUUAUCAGAAAAAACUUAUUGUAAUGAUGUCCCGUUUUGGGAGGAAAAAUGAAUGAAGAAUGGUAUUAAAAAGAGAUCAAUGCCUCAUUUUGUUGUAUUUUUGGAUUUCCUAUGAAAAAUAUGUUCUAAAAGUUACAAAAAUUAAUUUUUCGUUUAUUAUGUAAUAAUUUAAUUAUUUUAACUUUAUAUUAAAAGAUUUGAACGAUUACAGAUGAAUUCGAUCGGACUGAAUCCAAAUAUUAGGAGACCCAGGAGCUAGAUAGCUAUAUCUUGAAUUCCAUAAAUAUGAUUACAUAUUGAAUAUUGUAAGAUAAGAGAAAUUUCCAAAUAUACCACAUUUAUAAUACUAUUUUGAUGUUUACACUAACUACUUUUACCCUUAUUUUUAAAGAGGGAAAAAAGACAUUUAUAACUAUAUGAUUAACUAAUCUAGACUUAAAUAUUAGAGUUGAAGUGUAGGGUGCGAUUCUUCGAAUGUGAAAUUUAGGAUUUUAAUAAAUAUAUAAAUAAAUACUUUAAAAUAUAAUGUUUAGAGAAAAAAUAGUUCAAAAAUAAUUUUCGAUUUUCAUAAAGAAAUUUUGAAAAAAUAAACUGGAAAAAAUUCAAAAAAAAAGAUUUAUAAAAAGGUUCAAAUUUGAAAAAGUAUAAUGUUUUUUAAAAAUAAUUUUUUAUUAUAUAUAUAGAAAACAAGGGUAUAAAAAAUAUUUUGAAUCUUAAUGAAAAAUAUAUUUUUAAAAAGAUUUCUUAGUGGUAAACAGAAAUAAUGAUACUAAAAAAAUUGGUAAACAUGAAAAUUCAAGAUAAUUUAUUUUGUUACUUAUCAACGUAAACAUUACACGCACGGAUGGAUGUCUUUGAUGUUGAUGUCAAGUUAUUAAAAAAAACAUCUUGAUCUCAAUUAAGUAAAUAUUUGUCCAUAAACACUCAAACGUGGAGGCAUCAAAAUUUUCAUUAUUGAAACAAUCUGGAUCAUACUUAGUCUUCAGACCCGAAUUCGAAUCUGCACUAUACCAGAUUUCCACAGCAUGUGGUUACCGGAGCUUUCACAUUUUAUUUUCGGAGAAUAGUUUACUAUUUUUUUUACUUAGUCUUCGGUUUUGUUUAGUUAUGAACUUAUGAUCAAUUACAUGUUUUUUAAUCAAAUUUAAAAAAGAAGAAAAAAUUCAAUACAAGAGCGGUCAGAAGAUACGUUAGUUAACGUUAUGGAAUAUUUUUCAACAACAUGAGAUUACUUUAUAUUUUGAUUUCAAAUAUAUGAACAUCCAUUUCUUAAUCUUUAAUGACCAAAAAAAAAAAAUUUGGUGAUCAAAUGACAAGUUUUUUAUUUGAACAUGAUCAAAUGACUAAAGUUAGGACUCUGAAUUUACAUUGCCAAACAGCCUCAUCAUGUUACGUACCUGGCAGAAGCGGAUGAGCCAUCGGAAACACACACUGUCUCUGUCAAAUUUUAUAAAUUCACGUGAUUGUCAUUCUACUUGACAUGUAUAUAUUUACAUGUCGACAUUCGAUUAUACAAAAAUUUUUAUGGUAACUUGUACGCUUUACGUGUACAUUCGUAUGCAAAUGAAUACGCAUGUUGGAUUCGCCUUGUAUUUAACAUUUUUUUGUCUUGAUCGUUUUAUGUUCGAGAAAGAAACGCGAGAUUUGUAUCGGUUUUUCAGGAGAAAUCUUUUAUAUAUCCCUUUAAAUCCUUUUUACUAUAGAAUAAGCUUUAUCUGGUAAGCUCUCUCUUGUGUGGACAGCACAGAUGCAGGUUGAAAAAAAGAUAUUUCAUCAAUCAUCAUAUACGAGUUUUCUGAAUUAAUAUUAGAAACACCUACGUAUAAUUCCAAAAAAAUUAUAUAAUAACCAUAAUCGUGUGUUUAUUAACUUAUGUAUGUUAUUUCAAAAAAAAUAAACUUUUGUAUGUAAAAUCAUAAAAUAUACAAUAUUGGAUUCGACCUUCGUCAUCAAUUCCACACCAUUAGAGCAUGUUUAUUGGUAAAACCCUUAAGUGGUUCUUAGUGAAUUUUUAACUAUUAAAUUUAAGAUAAAAGAGUUUGUUAAGAGACCCUCAAUUUUAAUGGUUUAUUGGUUGUUUCUUAAUGAUGGUAUAUAAGAACACAAGUUAAGAAAAUGGAGAUGAAGAAUGUGAGAUAAACAAGAAAGAGGAUGGAGACUUCAAUAUUUUGAGAAAGAGAAGAAUGGUAUCUGAUUUAUAAAGUUUGUUUAUGAAUUACAAGUGUGUCUCGUGAAUUAAAAGGGUGUCUUGUGACACAAGACUACAACGAGAACACACACACAACAACUACAUCUCUCGUGACACACACACACAUACAUUUCUCAUGACUACACACACACAACAACUACAUCUCUCGUGACUGACUACACAAGACUACAACAACAACAACUAUACUCUUCUUCUGAAAAUCACAAACCUUUCACCAUUUAUCAAAUCACGGUGCUUUCACCACUUCACUUCAACUAUAGCUUUUACCUUGAUUAACAAUUGGUAUGUGUUUGAGAUACUAUCACAAGACAAUGCAACGGUGCCCGAGAAACCAUCACUCUGUAGUUUCUUCAUCCUCCCUUAACCUUAGCAUGCCUCUUGUUCUUCCAAUCUAAAGACACAAAGACAGGAAAAGAUCAAAACAGAGCAAAUAGAAAGGUUUUGUCCAAUUGACACAACGGUUUAUCCAAUUCAACAGAGCAAAUACAAAGGUUAUAUCCAAUUCAAAAGAUCAAAUACAAAGGUUUUACCUUUAUAAAAAAUCUCGGGGGGUUUCGUCUGGCAGAGAGAAAGGUUUGACCUUUCGAUUCGCUUGAAACAGUCACCGUUCUCCUUCGUCUCCGACAGCCACCACGAGUUUUAGAUCUCGUCGUUUUUCUUGGUCGAAGACAGAAACUGAUAGAGGGGACGCCGAUUUCCAUCAUCGACAAGAGCCUCCGGGAGCGCCGACGUUUCGUUGAGGAGAAGCUCCUUGAAGAAGAGAAAUCGACGAACGCAGAGAGGAGCGAAGGAAAAGAAAAAGAAGGAAAAAAAGAAAAGAGACCAAACCGACAGACCCACUUCUCCUCAAUCCAAUGAACAAUAGACACGUGGCUCGUAAGGGACGUGCCUUCGCUCCCUUAAUUAAGGGACGGAACUUAGUUUAAUUCAUGUUUUUCUUUUAUUUUUAAUGCAACUAGACCUAAGAUACCAGCUUAAGGGCUGCUGAUAAACAUGCUCUUAGCAUCAUCAUGAAGUUAUUGACAAUUAACCAAGCCAUGAGAAUCAAAAAUUGACUCCAUACGUUCGCAAAGGCCCAUUAGCUCGAUAGUCUGGAUGGAACUAGGCCCUUUUAACUAAGUCCAUUAACGAUAUGAUCUUCCAUCUAUAACAAAUACUCCCUCUAUUUUUUAUUUCAAGUAGUUUAAGUAAAAUUUGUUUGUUUCAAAAUAUAAGUAUUUUUUAUAAUUUUAAGUAAAUUUUACUUUAUUGGAUAUAGUGUGACCAAUCAAAAUAUCAAUACUAUUAAAAGGGAAGGAGUCCUAAAAAAUCUACUUAAAACAAGUCAUAGUUGGACCAUUUCAUUUAACUAGAAUUCCUAUUAUUUCUCAUACUACUAACUUAAUUAUUCUUCAUUAAAAGCAAAUUAGUCAUAAAAAAUGGUACUAACCUAAUUAUCUACUUAUAUGUUUACUAUAUACGCAUUAUUCCAUCAUAAAUAUUUUGAGCUAAUAUUAAAUAAUGUCCAUCCUAUAUUUAUAUAGUAUAUAGUUACUUGUGAUUUAUUUAAUAGAUAAUACUUUCGAAGACUAUAAACAAAAUAUAAUAUCCAUUGUAAAAAAUACAUUUUUUAUAGAGAUGAACCAUUAUUUUAUACUAACCUUAUUAACUAAACUGAUUUCAUUAACCAUGUUAUAUAUAUGAACACUUCAAUAUUAUCAUUCACAAACUAAACGAUGUUUGUCACAAUUUAAUAUUCCAAGUUGGUUGUAUUAUUUUAAUACCAAACCAGUUCCUAUAAAAAUCCAUAGAUAUGAUUAUGGUCUACAUAAAACCGGUUCAAUCUUUCCAUCUGCUAUAUUUUCAGAAAAUGACUAUUUAUCUUCGGUUCUGUUAGAUAUUUAGUCUAACCAAUUAUAAAUCGGUUAGUGAUAACUUCUAAAACUUUGAAAACACUUUGUUAUUUAUUAACACUAUAUCGAUACUUUAAAAUAUGUUAGCAGUAGAAUUGUGUUUUAGAACAAAAUCUACUUAUUUUAAAACAUAAUAUUAUUUUGAAAAUCGUUUUGAUACUAUGUGUUAUAUUAAACAUAGUUAUAUAUAUUUGAAAUAAAUAAUUAUAUACAUAAAUUAUACUUUUGGUUAACUAAAUUAUUUAUCAACCAAAUAAAAAUAUUCGGGUAAUUCAAGUUUUCGUGUUAUCCGGUUUAUAAAUAGUAUUUUUAGGAUAUGUGGUUAUUUAAAAAUUGAAUGUAAUUAAUAUUUUUAAAUAUAUAAUUUUUAUUUAAAAAUUCAGGUACUCAUUUGGUUCUCGGUUUGGUUUCAAUUUUUCGGUCAUAGAUUUAUGAUUUGCUAUAUUAUUUAUGCAAUUCAAUUCAAUUUUGGUUUUUCAGCUUGGUACGGUUUGGUCCGUGGUUUUGGAUAAAUGUGCUCAAACUUAUACACUAUCUUAUAUAGAAAUUCGUUUACAAUAUAUUUAAUUACAAAAUCUAGUAUAUACUUAUUUAUGAUUGGUUUGGACUAUACCUAAUUUAUAUAUCAAAUGCUAUUUUUGAAAAAAUUAAUAACUUUUUUUAAUAAUUGUGCAUUCACCUAAAACUACCUCCAUAAAAAAAACAGAGGGAGUAUAAAAGAAGACAGAAAACCCAUGUAGCUUCUCUCAAUGAUAUCAUUGACUCCAGUAUAUAUCAUGUAUUGGCUGAUUCUGCCUCUAUAAUUAGUCACAAGGUUGUGAUGCAGCCACAAAUAGGAUCAAAGUGUGCUCAUAACACAUGUCAUGUCUCAUUUUCCAUUUUACACUCCCGAAACAUGUUAUGUGUGCUGCUAUAUUGGAUCAAACCAAGGGAAUGACAAGGUUCGGCCCAUCAGUGAAGCAAGCCUGCAGCAGAGAGUAUGAAUUUCUAGAAGGCAGAUGAUCUUAUCACUUGCCAGCUGUCUCUACGGAAUAAAAAAUAACAAGUGAGAGACAUCCCAUGUGCUCCUAACGGCCUCGUCACAUACGUGUGGCUGAGGUUGGGAUCUUCUAUUUAUAGAUUGUUCUGAGCAGAGAGAAUGCUAUCUAGUGUUUAGAUCAAUCAAGAGAGAAAGAGGGAGGUGAGGGUAAUCCAUGAUACGUAGCAACCAAACCCGAGCCAGGCUUGGUCGCUACGCAGCGACCGAGCGCUCGUCCCGCUCGGUCGCUACGUAGCGACCGAGCUUUUGGCUCGAGCUCGGUCGCUACGUAGCGACCGAGCGACCAAUUUAAAUAUUUUCUCAUCGAGUUUAAUACUAGCUCGGUCGCUACAUAGCGACCGAGCGAUCGUCCCGCUCGGUCGCUACGUAGCGACCGAGCUCAGCCAAGCUCGGUCGUAGCGACCGGGCUCGAGCCAAAGUUCGGUCGCUGUGUAGCGAUUGAGCCUUUCCGAACAUCGNNNNNNNNNNNNNNNNNNNNNNNNNNNNNNNNNNNNNNNNNNNNNNNNNNNNNNNNNNNNNNNNNNNNNNNNNNNNNNNNNNNNNNNNNNNNNNNNNNNNNNNNNNNNNNNNNNNNNNNNNNNNNNNNNNNNNNNNNNNNNNNNNNNNNNNNNNNNNNNNNNNNNNNNNNNNNNNNNNNNNNNNNNNNNNNNNNNNNNNNNNNNNNNNNNNNNNNNNNNNNNNNNNNNNNNNNNNNNNNNNNNNNNNNNNNNNNNNNNNNNNNNNNNNNNNNNNNNNNNNNNNNNNNNNNNNNNNNNNNNNNNNNNNNNNNNNNNNNNNNNNNNNNNNNNNNNNNNNNNNNNNNNNNNNNNNNNNNNNNNNNNNNNNNNNNNNNNNNNNNNNNNNNNNNNNNNNNNNNNNNNNNNNNNNNNNNNNNNNNNNNNNNNNNNNNNNNNNNNNNNNNNNNNNNNNNNNNNNNNNNNNNNNNNNNNNNNNNNNNNNNNNNNNNNNNNNNNNNNNNNNNNNNNNNNNNNNNNNNNNNNNNNNNNNNNNNNNNNNNNNNNNNNNNNNNNNNNNNNNNNNNNNNNNNNNNNNNNNCGAGGAAGGAUAAAUGUCAAGUUUCCGCGGAUAAAUACGGAAGUUUUGAAGAUAAUUGUGAAGAUCGGGAAAAAUGGAAUAUCUCCAUUUUUAUGCUAUGACGGCUUAAGGGCAGAAGAGUAAAAGCGUAAACCGACCUUGGAGCUAGUAUAUAAGGAGUCCUAGGCGAGGAGCAGAGGAGAGAACUUUUUCAGAGCAAACUUAGCACUUAGAGCAAUUUAGGCAAUUUUCCGUUUUUGUUAUUUCGAGCUGCGACUCAAUUAGGUUUAGCUGUCUUAGGGUUGCUAGAACUAGGAAUCUCGCCGACAGCUCUCGAGCCCAGGCUUAUACCUUGUUGUAACGCUCAUACGCAGAUUCGGAAUAAGAUCUACUUUGCUCUCUUUUCGAUUUCUUAUUUUUAUCGUUGUUAUUCUCGUGUUCUGAUUGCUUGACGUGUGGUAAUUAACAGAUAUACGGGUCCUCUGGGAAACUAGGGUUUUCUUAGUUUCCUUAUUUAAACGGAAAUCGACAGUGUGAAUUUCGGUUCCCACAAAGUAUAUGACAGAAUGUUUGGUAUAACAAAACAAAAGGGUUUUUGUAGAUGAGGAUGAGAAGCAAGAUUGAGCAUGCUUUGAAAUAUAAGUCACUGCCACUGGCCAACUGCUUACCUCCACACAGAGGUAGGUUUUGUUUGGAGAAAAAAUAUGUAUGGUAAAAGCUACUAGUGUAAAUCUCCAAAUUUCCUAACUAGAGAGGGCGACAAGAUCUGUAUAAAUUUAUACACACAUUCAAGUGCAGUUGUCAACAAAAAGAACACUAACGACAGAAAGGGAUCACCACCAAAUCUAAAUCCUCGGAGAUCGUAUUUUCGAAAGAGAUAGUAAAAGAAGAGAUGUAAUUUUCGUAAAAAAUAACUUAUACGAGGUUUUUACGAAGAAGUAUCCUUUGGGAAUCAAACCGAACAAACCAAGCUCGGUCGCUACGUAUACACGCCGUCUGGUCGCUACGUAGCAACCAAACCCGAGCCAGGCUCGGUCGCUACGCAGCGUCUUAGGGUUGCUAGAACUAGGAAUCUCGCCGACAGCUCUCGAGCCCAGGCUUAUACCUUGUUGUAACGCUCAUACGCAGAUUCGGAAUAAGAUCUACUUUGCUCUCUUUUCGAUUUCUUAUUUUUAUCGUUGUUAUUCUCGUGUUCUGAUUGCUUGACGUGUGGUAAUUAACAGAUAUACGGGUCCUCUGGGAAACUAGGGUUUUCUUAGUUUCCUUAUUUAAACGGAAAUCGACAGUGUGAAUUUCGGUUCCCACAAAGUAUAUGACAGAAUGUUUGGUAUAACAAAACAAAAGGGUUUUUGUAGAUGAGGAUGAGAAGCAAGAUUGAGCAUGCUUUGAAAUAUAAGUCACUGCCACUGGCCAACUGCUUACCUCCACACAGAGGUAGGUUUUGUUUGGAGAAAAAAUAUGUAUGGUAAAAGCUACUAGUGUAAAUCUCCAAAUUUCCUAACUAGAGAGGGCGACAAGAUCUGUAUAAGUUUAUAAACACAUUCAAGUGCAGUUGUCAACAAAAAGAACACUAACGACAGAAAGGGAUCACCACCAAAUCUAAAACCACAAGAACCCUCUGAAACCAUUAAGACAGUGCCCGAGACUCCGAGAGCACAAGUGAAGGGCAUUGAGAAAUGUGAUUGCAAUUUACUAGCUGAAUGUUACGUGAAGAAGUAAAAACAAUGAUCUAGACAACAAGUGUAUUAUUGAAUCAAUCGAUCAAGUGUUUACAACCAAGAGAAAGUUUCACAGGAGAUUUCUCAGCUCCUACACUAUGAUCGACUCAAACACUCGAUACCAUUUCUCUUUUACAUAGUCAUAUAAAUAGGAUAAGCGUAAAGGAUAACACGUCACUCUCAUUCUGUUAGGCUCGUACGUGCGAUGUUCCCUCCGGUACGUGUGAUGUUCCCCUCAAGUGGUUAUUCAAAGAUUCCCCUUCUAGAUAAGUGCCACCUCACCUUCUAGAAUCGAUUUGGGCCUGUUCUGUCCACUCCCCUGGCCCAAACUUCCUUGAACGCUCCCACGAGCUCCUUGGGCCUGAAAUCGUCCGUUACUGGCCCGGCCCGUUUUGCUAUCGUUCCCUUCUCCCUUCUCCGACGAGUCUCCUUCUCCGGACCAUUCAUCGACCAGCUCCGCCACGUUCAUUAUCUUCUCCAACCCCCGCGGCUCCAUCAGUUUCACCCCCGCUCGAAUCUUAGGACGCAGACCGUUCUGGAAGGCUAUCACCAACACUGAAUCGGGAAUCUCUGGGGCGUUGGAUGCGAGCGCGAUGAACUCCUUCCGAAACUUCUUCACGGAGCCCGUUUGUCUUAAGCUAAGCAGUCUCUCGCCUACGCUCGUGUCGCGUACGGUUGAGAACUGCUGAAGCACCCUAUCCUUCAUUUGCUCCCAACACUCAAAUGGGUUUCGAUUUCGCUCCCAACGGUACCAAGAUAAGGCUUCGCCGGUGAAACACAGUCGCACCGCCCUCAUCUUGUCUGCCUCCGUAAAGUCUCCGAUCUCAAAGUAUUGAUCGAUCCUCAGUAUCCACCCCUCCGCUUCUGUGCCGUCGAACAGCGGUAUCUCCAUCCGCCGAGACAGCGAAAAGUUUCGAUCCUCCAAGGCUCUCCACGGUGGCGGCUGUACCGUGAACGAGUCACCCUCCAACCUUGACUCACCCACGUACCUUGCCUCCCCAUGGUGCCUUGGUCCUCCCUCGAUACUUUUCCCCGAUCCUUCUCCUGGAUAGACCGGCGCGUUGAAAACACCCGCUGGAUGAGAGACCAAACAAGAGGAGAGCGGCCCUUCUCCCCGCCGAUCCUUCUCCUUGGUUUGUUCUGUCAGUCCAAGACGAAUCUUCCCAAACUCACCGGUCAUCAGCUUCAUCUCCGUCAUCAUGCUCUCCAUACACCUCUCCAAUGACGAGAUCUUCCCUACCUCCUUCUCGAUCGCGUCGGUCCUCUCAUCCACGCGAUCUGCGAGCUCGGAGAUCUUCUCAUCGUUCUUCUUAACUGGCGCCAUGCUUGAUCUCAGGUAACAACCGUGCUCUGAUACCAAGUUUGUUAUGUGAAGAAGUAAAAACAAUGAUCUAGAGAAACAAGUGUAUUAUUGAAUCAAUCGAUCAAGUGUUUACAACCAAGAGAAAGUUUCACAGGAGAUUUCUCAGCUCCUACACUAUGAUCGACUCAAACACUCGAUACCAUUUCUCUUUUACAUAGUCAUAUAAAUAGGAUAAGCGUAAAGGAUAACACGUCACUCUCAUUCUGUUAGGCUCGUACGUGCGAUGUUCCCUCCGGUACGUGUGAUGUUCCCCUCAAGUGGUUAUUCAAAGAUUCCCCUUCUAGAUAAGUGCCACUUCACCUUCUAGAAUCUGCCGCUUCCCCAUCAAGUUGGAGCCGCGCUCUUCUUAUUCUUUCUGUGAUAUUGGUAAAGGAUAGGAGGCCUGCGAGCCUCGUAUGUAUCAUUACCGCCGCCAUUGAAAUUGACCUUGUCCUCAAGGUCAAGUGUAGGAAACUGCUUAGCCAUUGCCUCUGCUCCCUCCCACGUGCAGUCAGCUUCUGGCAAUCCUGCCCAUUUAAUCAAGACUUCACGCUGUACCGACGUUGGGUGAAUGCGCGCGUCUAACACUCGUUCUGGUUGGGCUUCCAAAAUCCCAUCCACCGUGAGCUGUGGCGGUAAAGAGACCGGAGUCAGCUCCUUUCCCACGGCUUUCUUGAGUUGAGAGACAUGGAACGUCGGAUGAAUGCGUGCUUCUGGUGGUAGAGACAGACGAUAUGCCACUGGUCCCACCCGUGCAGCGAUCUCAUAUGGUCCAUAGAAUCGCGCGGCGAGUUUCUCAUUUGCACGACGGGCCAACGUAUGCUGACGGUAAGGUCGAAGUUUAAGGAACACCUUCUCUCCGACCUGAAACUCCACCUCCCGGCGACGUGCAUCAACCCUGUUCUUCAUAGUUUGCUGAGCUUUGUGCAGAUAUUGCCUGAUCAGUGCCAAGUGUUCAUCUCUACCCUUCAAACGUUUUUCCAAAUCCGCAUAGCUAGUAGAGCCCGACUCAUAACCCAUCAACACAGGCGGGUCUCUACCAUAGACAGCUUUGAAAGGUGACAUCGAAAUAGAGGAGUGAAAAGAUGUGUUGUAGCUAUACUCUGCCCAUGCCAAGUACUGACCCCAAGUGCGAGGCUUCUCACUUGCAUAGCACCGCAAGUACGUCUCCAAUCCUCUAUUUGUCACCUCUGUUUGCCCAUCUGACUGUGGGUGGUAGGCAGUGCUGAAACACAACCUUGUUCCCGCCAAACGAAACAGCUCUUUUCAAAACAAUCCCGUGAAUACCUUAUCUCGAUCAGAGACGAUCGUUUUAGGGAAACCAUGUAACCUGACUAUCUCAUGAAUGAAUAACACCGCGACAUCAACCGCAGUGAAAGGGUGUUUCAUUCCCAAGAAGUGAGCGUACUUGGAGAAACGAUCAACGACAACCAGCACCACGUUGUAACCCUCUGACUUUGGCAACCCUUCAAUAAAAUCCAUGGACACGUCUUCCCAAACAUUGAGUGGAAUCGGCAGUGGCUGAAGCAGACCACUAGGGGCCAAAGUAGAAUACUUGUUCCGCUGGCAGACCUGACACGCUGAGACAUAACGCCGUAUGUCAGUCAUCAUCCCCUUCCAGUAAAAGAUCUCCCCGAUGCGCUUCUGCGUUUUCAGCACGCCGCCAUGACCCCCUUGUUUCCCAUCGUGGAACUCGUUUAAUAUUAACCCCACCAUACUCGCAUCCUUCGGAAUAACCAGCUUACCCUGGCGUAGGAGCCUCCCCUGGACCAGUGUGAAGUCAGGGUGCGCUUUGCUGUCCUGCUUCAAGUCUCGGACAAUCUGUCCCAUCUCCGGGUCAACCUCAACCGCUCUGUUAAUAUCCUCCAUCUGUAGGGCAAUAGGUACUGAUAGUGCGUCGGCCGCCUUAUUCUCCAAGCCUGGCUUGUAUUGGAUCUCGAAAUCAAAUCCCAAUAACUUAGUAAGCCACCGCUGAUAUUCCACCUUAAUUUCGCGCUGCUCCAGCAGAAACUUCAAGCUCUUUUGAUCGGUACGGACCAGGAACCUGCGCCCUAACAAGUAGUGCCGCCAUUUUUGGAUAGAAAAUACGAUGGCCAUUAGUUCCCUUUCGUAGACUGACUUCAUCCGCUGCCUGUCAGUGAGAGCCUGGCUGAAGUAAGCAAGAGGUCUCUGCUUCUGCAUCAGUACCGCGCCCAGACCGAAUCCCGAUGCAUCUGAUUCCACCACAAACAACUCAUUGAAAUCAGGUAGCGCUAGCACCGGUACUGUCGACAUCGCGUGCUUUAGAUGUUGAAAGGCCUUUGCUGGUACUGGCCCCCAAGCGAAUUGAUCCUUCUUGAGUAACACCGUAAGAGGUCGAGCUAUAUCUCCAUACCCAAGCACAAACUUGCGGUAGUAGCCAGUCAACCCCAAAAAUCCCCGCAAAUCCUUCACAUUCUGUGGUUCCUUCCAAUCUUUCAUGGCCUGUAUCUUGCCCUCAUCUGCAGCUACUCCCUCCGCUGAGAUGAUGUGACCCAGAUACUCCACGGAAGAACUGCCAAACUCGCAUUUUUUCUUGUUAGCAUACAACUUGUGUUGUUGCAAUACCUCCAACACCAGCCUGACGUGCUCAGUGUGCUCCUCCAACGUCUUGCUAUAGACGAGGAUGUCGUCAAAGAAGACGAGGACGAACUUGCGCAAAUAGCCCCGGAACACAUCAUUCAUGAGAGAUUGGAAUGUUGCUGGUGCAUUAGAGAGUCCGAAGGGCAUUACCAAGAACUCGUAAUGACCAUCAUGCGUGCGAAAUGCUGUCUUCGGUACGUCGCAGGCCUUCACUAAAAUCUGGUGAUACCCCGCCUUCAGAUCCAAUUUCGAAAAUACCACUGCCCCCUGCAACUCGUCAAGCAGCUGGUCAAUCAUCGGGAUUGGGUAACAAUCAGCCACUGUGACUUUGUUCAAGGCGCGGUAGUCGACGCAGAAUCUCCAGCUUCCAUCUUUCUUUCUAACCAACAAGACAGGGCUGGAAAAAGGGCUACUACUCUCCUGUAUAAUGCCCGCAGCCAGCAUCGUAGUGACCUGUUUCUCUAUCUCCUCCUUCUGUAUCUGCGGGUAUCGGAAAGGGCGCACCCUCACUGGUUCUGCGUCAGGCUUGAGCACAAUGGCAUGCUCCUUCCCUCGCGAGGGUGGUAACUCCUUGGGUGCCUCAAAGACCGGCGCAUAAGCCUCCAGUAACGAGGUAAGUUGUGGUGCGAGUGGUCCUUUCACCACUGGUUUCUCAACUUGCAACCCGUAGUACUCCACCAACACUACCUCUCCUUCCUGUUCCAUUGUUUUCCUCAUGGCUUUUGCUGAGACUGGUGAGCAACAGAGACUUGGAUCUCCCACCAGUCUAUACUUGCUGUUUCCAAUCUUGAAUUUAAGCACCUGCAACUUCCAGUUGACCUUCGUAUCGCCCAACGUCUCAACCCAUUGGAUCCCUAAGAUCACAUCAGCGCUCCCCAAUUCAAUUGGCAGAAAGCUUGAGGUGAUUGAACAACCUUGUAACUCCAACCUCACGUCAGGACACGUCCCCGCUCCUCUUAUCGUAAUACCUCCCGCCGUAAGUAUGUUGUACGCCUUAGCACUAUCGAUGGUCAGGUUCAAUCUCUUCACAACCUCCGUUGACACAAAAUUGUGGGUUGUGCCGCUGUCAAUCAGAACCACCACCUUCUCGCCUUGUAUUGUUCCCUCUAGCUUGAUGGUUUUCGAUGAUGAAAUCCCCAUCAUUGAGCUAAUCGAAAUCUCUGCAAUCUCCCCUUCCUCUUCCACCGCCGUCUCUGCCAACUCGACGGAACAUUCAGAGACAUCAAUCUCCGUUCCAUCCUCUAGCAACAUAAGUACCAACAGCUCCGGUCGCGCACACCUGUGAUUGUACCGGUACUUCUCAUCGCAGCGGAAACAGAGGCCAUCCGCCUUCCACUUAGCGACUUCCUCCGGUGUCAGGUGUCGGAACGGUGGCUUGAGCCUAUUAUGUGGCUUCUGACCUCCGUUGUUGGUGGUUGUCGUGGGUGUGUUGGAUUUGGGCCUGUUCUGUCCACUCCCCUGGCCCAAACUUCCUUGAACGCUCCCACGAGCUCCUUGGGCCUGAAAUCGUCCGUUACUGGCCCGGCCCGUUUUGCUAUCGUUCCCUUCUCCCUUCUCCGACGAGUCUCCUUCUCCGGACCAUUCAUCGACCAGCUCCGCCACGUUCAUUAUCUUCUCCAACCCCCGCGGCUCCAUCAGUUUCACCCCCGCUCGAAUCUUAGGACGCAGACCGUUCUGGAAGGCUAUCACCAACACUGAAUCGGGAAUCUCUGGGGCGUUGGAUGCGAGCGCGAUGAACUCCUUCCGAAACUUCUUCACGGAGCCCGUUUGUCUUAAGCUAAGCAGUCUCUCGCCUACGCUCGUGUCGCGUACGGUUGAGAACUGCUGAAGCACCCUAUCCUUCAUUUGCUCCCAACACUCAAAUGGGUUUCGAUUUCGCUCCCAACGGUACCAAGAUAAGGCUUCGCCGGUGAAACACAGUCGCACCGCCCUCAUCUUGUCUGCCUCCGUAAAGUCUCCGAUCUCAAAGUAUUGAUCGAUCCUCAGUAUCCACCCCUCCGCUUCUGUGCCGUCGAACAGCGGUAUCUCCAUCCGCCGAGACAGCGAAAAGUUUCGAUCCUCCAAGGCUCUCCACGGUGGCGGCUGUACCGUGAACGAGUCACCCUCCAACCUUGACUCACCCACGUACCUUGCCUCCCCAUGGUGCCUUGGUCCUCCCUCGAUACUUUUCCCCGAUCCUUCUCCUGGAUAGACCGGCGCGUUGAAAACACCCGCUGGAUGAGAGACCAAACAAGAGGAGAGCGGCCCUUCUUCCCGCCGAUCCUUCUCCUUGGUUUGUUCUGUCAGUCCAAGACGGAUCUUCCCAAACUCACCGGUCAUCAGCUUCAUCUCCGUCAUCAUGCUCUCCAUACACCUCUCCAAUGACGAGAUCUUCCCUACCUCCUUCUCGAUCGCGUCGGUCCUCUCAUCCACGCGAUCUGCGAGCUCGGAGAUCUUCUCAUCGUUCUUCUUAACUGGCGCCAUGCUUGAUCUCAGGUAACAACCGUGCUCUGAUACCAAGUUUGUUAUGUGAAGAAGUAAAAACAAUGAUCUAGAGAAACAAGUGUAUUAUUGAAUCAAUCGAUCAAGUGUUUACAACCAAGAGAAAGUUUCACAGGAGAUUUCUCAGCUCCUACACUAUGAUCGACUCAAACACUCGAUACCAUUUCUCUUUUACAUAGUCAUAUAAAUAGGAUAAGCGUAAAGGAUAACACGUCACUCUCAUUCUGUUAGGCUCGUACGUGCGAUGUUCCCUCCGGUACGUGUGAUGUUCCCCUCAAGUGGUUAUUCAAAGAUUCCCCUUCUAGAUAAGUGCCACCUCACCUUCUAGAAUCCGCCGCUUCCCCAUCAAGUUGGAGCCGCGCUCUUCUUAUUCUUUCUGUGAUAUUGGUAAAGGAUAGGAGGCCUGCGAGCCUCGUACGUAUCACUGAAUCAAGCCUUUGCUUUUCCUGCCUGGAUAGAUUGUAGACGUUGUUGUAACUUCAUCAUCUGCAAGAGUUUGAUUCCAUAAAGAUCGUCAUCACUAGUUUAAGUAAAGGAACGAGUUUCCAUUUGUGACCAUUCGUCUCUAUUCUUUCAAACAAAACAAACUCGUAUAUGGUGCUAAGUCCACCACGCAACAAGACAGAGGAGCGCACUCAGUUCAAGUCUUUACUUCCAGGACAUGAAUAAACUGACCCAGAAAACGUCUACUGUAUAUUUCUUAAGCUAAGUAAAUUUAAGCAUCAAUGUUCGGACUAUGACUGGUGUUAGUAUCCAUGUUGAAAUGCAUUCAAAUCAGCAUAUAGUCUGUGAGAGGGAUGACUUACAGCUUCUCUCUUGCUGUUUUGUUGCCCCUCGUUAUCCUGGAGAGUUGCAUCAAUCCGUUUCCUGCAAACAAUAAACGUUAUUCCUAAGGGACAUGACACUAUGUAGCUCAAACACAUGAUCAACAUAGGAAGUCAUGUUUUCACAUAAGUGCUAAACUACAUAUUCAUCAACAGCAUUUAUUAGUAUCCUAGGGCUAGAACGAAAGGUUCUCUCUUUUUCUUUCCAAGUUGAUGUAACAAUCCAAAAGAAAGAAACUUGGAAACAUACAGUUCAGCAGAGAUGUACUCCAUACGUUUGCGAACAUUGGCAUUAGCUUCUGCCAAAUCCUGUUUCACUAGCACAGGACCAAUCAACUUGUAUACGUUCGCGUCGUCUUCCAGCAAAUCCAACUCCUGUAUGAUUCUCUUUCAAUCUCAGAAGAAUCAUACUCUGUAUACAAAACAGUGAGACAUGUAAAUACCUUAAGAACGAGCUCGUUCUCACCGAGUUGAAUCGUAUACUUCUUCCUCAGCUGGUGAUUCUUCGCGAUUUCUGAAGUAUUAAUCUAAGUUUAUUGAACAAAAACAAGAGAAAGAUUUCGAAUCAAGGGAUUGAUUACCUUUCUGGAUUUUGGCGAGAUCAUUGGCCUUGGCCUCUAGGUCUCUUUGCAUAUCUCGAAGAGCCAUUGAUGAUGAACUCAUCUUCUUCUUCUUCCUCUUGUUCCUCACUCCGGUGUCGAGUUCUUUAGUACUCUCUGUUUCCAGAUGGGCUGAAAAGCCCGUGGAGUUCACUAGGAUUGCAAAUGGCCCAUUACAUUUCAAAAUAGGAAUAAAGACUAUUAAGAACUUUUUAUUAUUUCUCUAAAUCCCCUAUAUAUUAAAAGGGAAACAUUACAACAUAUUUUUGUAUCCACAUAUCAUCACCACAAUCAUUUUUAGAAUCUUUAGAAAAAUAUGUUGGUCUAUAUAAAUAUAUAAUAAGUUUUUUAUUAAACUAACCAUAAAUUAAUCAUAAAUCUUCUUCAUUGUUUACUUAAAUAAAAAUCACGGAAUUAUCUAAUGUGGUUAAAGUAUAUACGAUAAUUAAUGAUUUUGAAUAAUAAAAAUUUGAUAAAAAUCAGUUUAUUCUCUAUCAUUUUUAAUUCAUUUUAAAAUAAAUUAAACAACCACAUUAACUAUAUAAUAAAAAUUUAGAUUUUUUCGUAUAUGUUAUAUUUUGAAUUUUAAAAAACGAAUAUAAAUGACUAAAGUUGUUAAAAAUAUCACACUAAAAUUUUUGUGAUCCAUGGUUUAAAAUUUAUGUUAUAACAAGAUACAAAUGAUUACAAAAUUACAUAAGUAGGAAGUCUCAUCGAAUUUGAUUUGAAAUUUUUUUAUAAACAUUUUGAACAAUUGUUGACAACUUAAUAUUUAGAUUUUAAACUUUGCAUUGAAUGUUUUUAAAAUUAUAAAUUAUUAAAACUAUUAAACAUCCCAUAAUUUUUUUAUUGUUAUCAUUGAUUUAAAAAUUUUGUUAUAAAGAAAUACAAACGAUUAAAAAUAAUAUGAGUAUAAAAUAUGUUUUAACAGAUGUCAAUAUUAAAAAUGUACUAUAUAUUUAUGUUAAUAUCAUUUAAACUUAAUUUUAUAACAUAUAAAAUAGAAAAAGUGUUUGUCUGGAUAAAUAAAAUUUAUUUAAAUAUUUGUACCAAUUUAAUUAUAUACGUAAUAGUUACUAAAAUUUUAAUCAUUCAAUAUAUAUUUAUUAUUUCAUAAUAUGUAAAAAAUAUAUAAUAUUUAAAAAUAAUUUAUAUAUAAUAUUCGUUCCGCGCAAGGCGCGGAUCUUAACCUAGUUCACAAUAAAAAAAAAAAGAAUUUAACAAAAUUGUGUUUAAUAUGAACUAAGAGUCAACGUUUUUUUUUUAACAAACUAGGAAUGCUAUAGUUGGUGCCAUUUUUAAUAAUAUCUUAUAAGCAAUCCAAAUAAAAAAAAAAGUAAUUGAACUAUACUUGGGUGAACUUGGGUGAGCUAUAUAAGCCGCAAAGUUAAAUACGACCAGAGAUAUGAUGAUUCCUGUGAAUGAUAUCUACUUCAAAGAGAAAAUUCCUGAGAAUAUCACAUUUGCGCUAACUUUGCUAAUGAUAUUUACUCUGGAUUAAGGUAAACAAGUUCUGGAAUUCAUGCCUUCAAGUAUGGCAUUGAGUUUCCAACACUUGAGCAACAUCAUAACAAAACAAAACAAACACACACAUAUGUCAGCUAUUGCAAAUCAUAUCAUUCCUAUGAUAACACUUGAAUAUUGAUUGAAAUAAACACCAGAGUUUGACGAAGUCUUACAUCCAUUAAAAAAAAAACACAAUUAUAAAAAGGCAAUACUUUCAACAUGUUCGGGUGAGACAGAGACAUUACAAUCGCUCACCAGUCCAUAACGGCGCCUAAAACCUUCAUCGUCAGCAAUCCCAUGUAUCCGAACUCUUCUCAAGUCUUUUAUUUGAGUAUUGUAGUAGAAAAUGUAGAAGGGCUGUGCACCAUGUGACAGUUUUGUUGGAGCAAAAAUGAUUUCACCAGCCUUGUUGGUGCCCGGGGAAGUCAUAUUCACCAAAUCGCAAGGAAGGUCAAAUGUUUGCUUGGACCAGACACCUUUCUUCACGUCCUCUAAAAUCCAUAAAUCAAAACUGCGGAAGCUCAAAGGUUGGUGUCUAACAAUGGAAGCUAACUUCCCUUUGUAUUCUAUCAACACUGAAUAACUCAGGACAUCCUUAGGCAUUUUGAUAAAACUUAUCUUCUCAUGUCUAACAUCAAAACAGACAAUCACCGGAUUCAUUCUUGGUCUUGGGGCCCAAGCACCAAAAUAUAUAAAACCAUUAAUGCAUAGUCUAUUCGUCAGAGGGGAAUAAGGUGGGGAGGUUACCAUAUUGCGUGAUUCUCCUCCCCCUCCUCCUCCAAGUUUUAUAACCUCGUGCACAACACAAAUAUGAUAACCCCGGACAGGAGUAGGCACCAAAGACAAUGCUUUGAAUUGACCAUCAACAGGAUCGUAUCCCAAGGAUGUGCGGUUUCCUUUACAGGGCAAGCUAACGACUUGACCCGUGCUAGGGUUACAUAUAGUGAACUGAAAACCAUAACAACAACCGACAAAGCCAUGGACGGAAGGACAAUCGGAGACGUGAGACAAGCUCAACGAAGGUAUAGUCAUGUGGAGAUUGGCAGCCAAAGAAGAAGACGAGAAGAUGAACAGACGCUGGGCAUCACCCUUGACAAAUACACUGUUGCUGAAAGCGACUGUAAACCGGGAUCGGGUUGCAGAGGAGGACAUAGCGUAGUAAGCAUGGACGAACCCUUGGCUUAGGAUGAUGGAAGACCACGUCUUCGACACACAUCGGGACCUCAUCAGAGACUUUACAGGCAAUCUAGUCAUUAUCUCCACCUCUAGGUCUAAAGGGAUCGAAUGUAGUAGCUUACUUGGCCUCUUGUCGCUCUCAUCGUCCUCGUUACCAUCUCUCUCCUUGCGUUUCAAGCAAACCCUAGAUUCGACUUUGCGAAGGAGUUUCUUUUGGUGUGGUUUAACCUGCAAUCUAGUCAUCUUCUUCAGAUCAAGAGGGAUCGGUUCUAUACUUCGGUGGCUGGAGAACCUCUCCGUCUCAUAUCCCUUGCGUUUCAUGGCGACUCAAGACGAAGACUUUUAAAGCCAAAAAGAUUUUUUUUUUUUUUUUUUACGUGUUCCAGAAGUCAUCAGUUCCUCUGCCGUUUGUUUUAGGUUAACUUCUCUCAUUAGAAAUAUCAGUGAAUUUCUCAAUCUCAGCCGUCUAUUUGAGGUGUAUCCCUGAAAUUCGCUGAAAUGUAUUAUAUACGGUAACAACUAUAUAAAAUAAUAAUGUUAAGAAUUUGAUAUUUUUUAUAAAAAAAUACAAAAAGUUUCUUUUUUGUUUAAUUAGAUUCAUUUAUUUUAAAGUAUGUUUCAUAUAACUUAAGAAAAUUGUUUAUUUACUGUAGACUCAUAUGAAGAUUUUUACUUUUGACAAAGCCAAAGAGUUUCUUUUUCUUUUACGUGUUCAAACCUUUGAGUCUGAACCUCUUCUCUAAAUCUCAGCCGCUUGUUUUAAGUUAACUUCUCUCAUUGGAAACAUUUUCAAUCUCAGCCGUCUAGUGAGAGGCGUAACCUGAAAUUCGCUGAAUUUUUUUUUUUCAACUAAAAUAUUAUUUAUUAGACAAAGGUGUGGGAGGCGACAAAAGACAAAAGUGAUUGUCCCUUGAGCCGACAAAAGAAAAAAAGUGAUGGCACUUGCAAUGUUUCACUAUAUGAUGAACUUGUCAUCAGAAGACCAAAUGUUUUUUUUAAGAAGCAAAAUACAACAUUACAUGCCCAAGCAAAAAAGCAGAUCACAAACCAUAAUAGUUCAUGGCUACAAAUGAUUACAGUGUAAGUUCCAGCCAUACAAAUCAAAAGGCUCAAAGCAAAUCCACAAGUACACCUUGUGCAACACAUAAAAUGAAACAACAUAUAUAGAGAGAGAGAUUCAACAUACUGUUAUAUCUAAGUACCAUAGAUAUACCAUAGAGAGAGACAGAGUGGUCCAGAUAGUGCUGGACUGAGAGUUACUUCCCAAGAACAGUUGCAAUGGAAGAAGGAAUAUCGGAUAGUAUCUUCAAGAUUGGUUUGAGAAAUGUCCAACGCCAAGUUUCUGAGCUUCGAGUUUAAGUGACUUGAGGUACUGAACAGCUUCAUCAAGUACAGAAGCUGUAUUCAUCUCGUCCCCUCCAGGGACUAUUCUCCUCAACACUCCCAUCAUUUUCUUCAUCUUUCUCCUUCCUUUCCCAUCAUUGUUAGAACUACUAGCACUUCCAGAUAAACUCUGCUUCCUUCUUGAGCUAUUAUAUCCAGAGCUCGAGUUACGAGCAGUGCUGCUGACCUCUUCUGAAUCACCACCAUCCUCACUCUCAUCAUCAUCAUCAUCUUCAUCUGUGCUCAAGAGAGCAUCAAUCUCAUUAGGAUCUUCUUGGUGAGAAGAAGAGGAUGAUACUUCUUGUUGGCCCAUGGCGACUCAAGACGAAGACUUUUAAAGCCAAAAAGAGUUUUUUUUUUUUUUUUUACGUGUUCCAGAAGUCAUCAGUUCCUCUGCCGUUUGUUUUAGGUUAACUUCUCUCAUUAGAAAUAUCAGUGAAUUUCUCAAUCUCAGCCGUCUAUUUGAGGUGUAUCCCUGAAAUUCGCUGAAAUGUAUUAUAUACGGUAACAACUAUAUAAAAUAAUAAUGUUAAGAAUUUGAUAUUUUUUAUAAAAAAAUACAAAAAGUUUCUUUUUUGUUUAAUUAGAUUCAUUUAUUUUAAAGUAUGUUUCAUAUAACUUAAGAAAAUUGUUUAUUUACUGUAGACUCAUAUGAAGAUUUUUACUUUUGACAAAGCCAAAGAGUUUCUUUUUCUUUUACGUGUUCAAACCUUUGAGUCUGAACCUCUUCUCUAAAUCUCAGCCGCUUGUUUUAAGUUAACUUCUCUCAUUGGAAACAUUUUCAAUCUCAGCCGUCUAGUGAGAGGCGUAACCUGAAAUUCGCUGAAUUUUUUUUUUUCAACUAAAAUAUUAUUUAUUAGACAAAGGUGUGGGAGGCGACAAAAGACAAAAGUGAUUGUCCCUUGAGCCGACAAAAGAAAAAAAGUGAUGGCACUUGCAAUGUUUCACUAUAUGAUGAACUUGUCAUCAGAAGACCAAAUGUUUUUUUUAAGAAGCAAAAUACAACAUUACAUGCCCAAGCAAAAAAGCAGAUCACAAACCAUAAUAGUUCAUGGCUACAAAUGAUUACAGUGUAAGUUCCAGCCAUACAAAUCAAAAGGCUCAAAGCAAAUCCACAAGUACACCUUGUGCAACACAUAAAAUGAAACAACAUAUAUAGAGAGAGAGAUUCAACAUACUGUUAUAUCUAAGUACCAUAGAUAUACCAUAGAGAGAGACAGAGUGGUCCAGAUAGUGCUGGACUGAGAGUUACUUCCCAAGAACAGUUGCAAUGGAAGAAGGAAUAUCGGAUAGUAUCUUCAAGAUUGGUUUGAGAAAUGUCCAACGCCAAGUUUCUGAGCUUCGAGUUUAAGUGACUUGAGGUACUGAACAGCUUCAUCAAGUACAGAAGCUGUAUUCAUCUCGUCCCCUCCAGGGACUAUUCUCCUCAACACUCCCAUCAUUUUCUUCAUCUUUCUCCUUCCUUUCCCAUCAUUGUUAGAACUACUAGCACUUCCAGAUAAACUCUGCUUCCUUCUUGAGCUAUUAUAUCCAGAGCUCGAGUUACGAGCAGUGCUGCUGACCUCUUCUGAAUCACCACCAUCCUCACUCUCAUCAUCAUCAUCAUCUUCAUCUGUGCUCAAGAGAGCAUCAAUCUCAUUAGGAUCUUCUUGGUGAGAAGAAGAGGAUGAUACUUCUUGUUGGCCAUAGUUACCAUAACCUCCCGCAACAUACUCGUUCUGAAACGAAGAAGCUAAUCCGGAGUUCACGAGCCUAGGUGUCAGUUCAGGAUGGAACAUCACUUGGCUGCGGUCAUACGUUUGGUCGAAAACGACAAAGUUCUUUGGACAGACCGAAGAGGGUUGAAGUUCAACACCAUGGAAUGGUAACUUGGCACAUGGCGGGAACAAAGCAUCAAAGGAUGACGCUGAUGCAUACGACGGGGCGCUGUUCAUGUUUCCGUCUCCCAUUUGGUCAGAGAAGUAGGGAUACUGAUUGUUCUGCAUUAGAGCUAAAAUGUGAAAACAAAAAACAAGUCCUAAGCUGCGAGCUGCUUGAUUCUUUACUACCAAAUCUGUCUUCGUUAAGCUUUGAGCUGCUCGGUUACACUACUAAACAAACACUACGUUGACAACUGAACCAAAUGCUAAAUCAAGUUGUUAUGGCCAUCAGACUGAAGAGUCUCCACCAAACAGAGUUCAGUUGUCUUCAGAAUACCAAACUCUUAAUAUCUCACAGUAAUCAAAAGACAGCCGCCGCCCAAUUAUCGGAAACUCCAGAAACCAGACUACGUUACAGGCUUAAGUAACUGUCUGAAAUAUUCUGCCUGCAAAGAUUUUAGAAAAAAAAAAAAGAAAGGUUGAAACAUCAUACACACUGUGGUUUUGUGCUUUAAAGAAUAAAACUAUUUACCCAAAACAUAUAUGAUCUAUUAGAGGGAUACAUUUUUCAAUGCUUGAUAACUUAAUCUAAUUCAGAAAAGUAGUUAUUACUAGGCGUUAAAAAUGGUUAUGAAAUGAAGUAAAUGAAGGAAAGGUAUGUACCUGGCAAACUUGAACGGAUUGGUAAUUAGCAAUGAAACAUGUAGUCAUCAUAAAAGUUCCUAUUUCCUUCAAUGAUCUGUAUCCCUUCUUCUUGUUUCCAACAAUGCACAUUCUCAACACUAAAAAAAUAGUCACAACAACAACAGAGAGCCACUCCGGAUUAACAACGCCUGCAAAACGAGAAAGGAAUGUUCACUAGUUUUAAACACAAGAAGCUGUGAAAAAAAAGUAAAACAAGAGAGCAUUCGUUUUCACAUGGCACCAAGGCGAGAAGACAAUCUAAACUAGAUACCGACAUACUAUAUAAAACAGCUAAUAUGGAGGCAAAGCAAAAGAGACUACAAAGAUCUAAAUAAAAAUACUUCACAUGAAUGGUAGGACAAAAAAACAGAAGAUGUGGCAAAAGAUACACUCAGUCACUCACCUGGAAAGGAUGGAAAUUUACAGAAUGACAAGGAAAAAGACAACGAGACGAGUGCAAGUCCGGUUGAAAAACAUGAAGAAGGAUGUCCAAGGCAUCUUUGAUUCCUUCCACUAUUAAUUUUGAGUAUUUAACCUCCCCGUUCCUCUUCUCUUUCAAAAAACUUCACAAACAAACACAACAAAAUUAGGACCAAUGCCAUUCAUAAAAUAAUCACAGAUAUAUGAAGUUGAAAGGCACUGAAACCAACGCAAAAUCUCUAUAAAAAAUAUAUCUAAUAAUACUGAAAAUAAAUAAAAUAAACAGAGGAUGUUUGAUUCAUGAAACAAAAGCAUACAGCUUUAUGCAUCUGUGUACGAUAAACAGAGCAGCCAUGACCAAAGACACUAACACUGGUGGAUCACGGAUAAUAAAUGUUUUUUUAUCUUUUUCACUAAAAUUACAUACUGAUCACCAAAACUGAACACGAAACAGAAUCUUCAAGCGAUCAUGAAUAGUUUAUUCAUGAAAAAGAAACAGAACGAAAUCACACAGAAAUAUCAAAGGGAAAAAUAGAAUCUUCACCCAAAUAAGUCAAAAAAUUGCGGCGGCAAGAAGAAGCAAAAAAGAUCAUACCUAUAGAGAUCAAAAACCUUGAGAAUAGAAGAGGAAGAAUAAAAAUGAACUCUUUCUGCGUAGAACUUAAGCUGAAAGGCUGAUCGAAAGAAGUUGCAGUGGGGUGGGGAAGAAGAUCUAGAAAGAGAGAAAAAGAGAGAGACAAUAGGAGUAAUUGACAGAGAGCGUGGCCUUCUUCUUUUCUGGUGCUGUUUGUUUGUUUUUGUUUGGUUUGUCCACUCCCAUUUUAAUCGCAUUCAUCAUACAUAUACGGAUGUUUAAAGUUUUUUUCCUUUUUUUCUUUUUUGUAAAACAGUUCCCUUUUUAUUAAUUCAUAGCACGGUUUGUGUGCGUGAAUCUACUUGUUUUUUUUUUUUUGAGCAACUCUACUUGUUUUAUUGAAAACAAAAAUAAAAACAAGCAAAAAGAGGUUAAACUUUAGUGGAAAUUUCGGAAUUAUCAAUUUUUUACACUCCUACUAAUAUUGAUUCACCCAAGAUCAAAUUAUCGACAAAAUAUGUCUUUCUACGAGUUAUAUUGAAGAAAUAAAAUCUUUUGAUGUAGUCUUUAGGAAUAUGUUCAACUGAAAAUUUGAUGUAAACUGUACUAUUAAAAUAGAAAUCAUAACUUUUUUUUUACAUGUGUGAUUUUUUUAGAUCAUCUUUAAAAAACAUUUUUAUAUUUACAUAACAAUAUCCUAACAAUAUAUCUAAUAUCCUUAUUCCUUACAUUUACUCUUCGUUUGUAUUUGUAUUUCAUAUAAUUGAAUGGGCUCGUCGAUGAGUCGUAACUUGGCCAGCUAAAAUAUUCAACAAACACAAACAUUCAAUUUUAUCCUAAAAAUAAUGGAUGGUAAUCCAUCAAGUAAUUAUCAAGUAAUGAUAUAUUCUUUUGUCUACCAUACCAAGAGGUAUAAAAAUAUAUCUUACAAUAAACAUAUUGUGUUAGAUCUUUGUAAUUAGACUGGAUUUAAUACUUUUUAAAAAUAUUGGAUUUAAUAUCUAUCUUAUUAAAACUCAAGUACAAAAUUGGAGUGUUUGGAGACUUGAAUAGGACUUUUAAAAAUUUGGAGUGUUUGGAAACAUGGAUUGCAGUCUUUAAAAAAAAAUAUUUUUGUUUGAAAACAAGGAUAGUAGUAUUAAGAAAAAAAGUAAUGGGCUUAUGUUUUUUUAAAAAAUUGAAAGUUAUCUAGGCCACUUUUAAAAUAUACCAAAAUGGGUCAAUCUAAUUCCCUAAAAAAAAAUUUUCUAAUCUAACCAUAAAACAAAAUUUAAACUUUAUAUACAUAUUUCAAAUCAAAAUAAUAAUUCAAAUUUGAUUUAUAUCAAAAAUUGAUUCAAAAAUAUACAUAUAUUCAAAAAUGGAUUUUUACUAAACUAUUUUUCAAUAACCAUUAUAAAAAAAUAUUGUCAAUAUAUAUAAGAAAAAUAUAAUACAAAGCCCAAUUUGAAAUACCAACUCAAAUUAUGGUUUUCAUAUUUCAUAUUAAGUUUUAAAAAUAUAAUAUAUGUAAUUAUUUAUAUGAUGGUAUGUAUAAAAUACUAUUAAUUAUAUGAUUACUUAUAUGAUGGUACAUAUAAAAUACGAUUAAUUAUAUGAUGAUAAAAUACGAUAUAUAAUAAUGACUAGGGAUGGGCUUUUGGAUACCCAUACGGGUUUAGUUCUGAUCGGUUUGUAUUUUGAAUUUUCGGGGUCAAAGAUUUCAGCCUUAUUAGAAUGUUUCUAAAUUUUGGUUUGAGUUCGAUUUGGAUCUUUGCGGGUUAAGUAUAUAAAUCUAUUUUUAGAUAAAUUCGGAUACCCAAAUACUUCGGUUCGGAUCAGAUUCGGUUCUCUAAAUAACAAAAUUUUGAAUAAUUAGAAUAUUUAAUCAAUUUAUGUUUGGGUUUGGUACUAUAUCUUUGGAUCGGUAUCGGUUAUGUUCCUCGGAUUCAUUUUUCCAAAUCCUAAUAAUUACAUGAAAAACAAAUAUCAACAUAUUUUUCAAAAUAUACACCCGCGCGCCUGCGCGGGUCAAAAUCUAGUUGGAAUUAAAUAUGAAAGCAUAUAUAUAAACAUACGGUCAUCUUAUUUUAUAUCUACAUUUAAACCAAAUAAAAAUAUAUCUGCUAAUAAUUAUUAUUAUUAUUAAUAGACCCAUUUUAAUAUGUAGAUGACACACGUAUCUUGUUUUAAAAUGAUUUUGAAACCAUAUAUUCCAAAAUAUUAAAACCAGUAAAUAAAAUUUAUUUAACAAAAAUAUUAAGUUUUAGUUUAUAGAACCGAAUCUUUGAAAAUGUAAUAUAAAUAAACUUCUCAAAAAAUACUUCAUUAAUAUAAAUAGAAAUAUAAGAGAAUAAAAAUGGUAAUUUGAGAUUAAAAUUAAUGAAAUUUAUAGAAGUAUUUUAUUUUAAAAAAUUUAUGUUCAGUUUACUCAUUUUUGAAUAACACAUCUAUGUAUACUAUUCAAACAUAAGUCAUAAUUUAUCUCAUGUGUAAUUGUUUUAUGGAAAAUUCUCUCGAAUGACUAUUUUUAAAUUAUAUAACGUGAAUAAGUAUGUAUAAUAGCCGAAGAAUUACAAGAAUUUUUUUAACACUGAAAAAUUCAUUUUAAAUGAUUCACGAAUAUUAGGAUAGUACAACCAAAAAUUAAUAAUUUAAAUCACUAAAAGACAUAAUAAAAAAACUCAAUAAAACAUAGACGAUGCACUACAAUUUUUUGUUUAAAAUUCAAAUGAAGUGGGACUUUUAUAAGUUUGUAUAAAUUAUUGAGUCAAAAAUUUAAACCAUACAAAAAAUUUGAUUAACAUCUAUGUAUAGCCAAUGUACACAUUUAAUGAAAUAUCUAAAUCAAUAUUAAAUAAAGUGACUUCCCAUAAAUAUAACAAAUAGUUAAUGUUUUAAUUAGUGUUCAUGGUUUAAUAAGAAAGAUUGUACAAAAUCAAAUUAGUACAAUGUGAAAUAUAAAAUUGGUGUGUGUGAAAAUGUUAUAUGAUACAAUUAGUAAUAUGAUAAAUAUUAAAAUUAUAUCCACUAAUCAUUUUAAACAAAUGUUAUAUGAAUAAAAUGAUAAUAAUUACCUGCACGAUUGUGUGGAUGAAGAUCUAGUUUGUAUUAAAAUGACAAAUUUACAAUUCAAAAAUGAAUUUUACCCACUUAAAAUUUUCUGUUAUUGGACUUAACAUUUUAUAAAGUAGUCUUAAAUUUAUUGUUACUGAUUUUAAAUUGUAAGUUUUAAAACUUUCGAGUGAUUUUAGAGUGUUAUGGUUAAUUUCUUAAUUAAAAAAAUAAAACUCAAAUCUCAUGAUUUUUGGUAAUAUUUUAAAAUAGUUUAAAAAAAUCACUUUAAAUUCUCUAAUUUAUAUAAAAUCACUUAAAAAUCAUUAAAAAUCAAACUACCUCAAAUUUAGAUUAAAUACAACCUUGAGUUAUUUCAUCCCCAAAAAUAAAAUAAAAGAGUUUAUUUUGUUGUUUCUUUAGUUAUUUAUUGUUUAGAGAAAACUUCUAUUAGAACAUAUAACAAAAUUGUAACCAAAUUUACAUGAUUGGGCAUGAUUCUAGUGUCGAUUUUCAGUUAGUCAAAUUGAUUAAUGCAAUAAACAUAAUGGCAUACAACAUCGAAAUCACUUAUAUAAAAUCAAACUGGUAUGUUAUGUCUCACAUAAUCUGAUAAUUAGGAUCGAGUGUAGAAUUUCAAUACUACUUAUAUAGUCGUUUUUUAUAAUCGUGGAGAUCCAAAUAUAUUUUAGCCCCAAAGACUAUCCUAUGAUACAUUGCAUCAGAAUACACUACUAAUCCAUGUAAAUGGCAUAACUAGAUGGGCAAAACAAAUUAAACGCAGGACGAAAGUUCUAACAGUAAUUUAUUUACCAAAGACGAUUUUGGUUAUCAUACUGGUCUCAAAAAUAAAGUUUACGUGAAUAGCGUAAUGCAUGUAUAUCACUCAUUCACUAGGCGGAUAUAGUUUUUUGAAUAGGGAAUUAGAAAGGACAAAGUUUAUAAAAAUAACAAUAAGUAAAUGUAUUAAGAGAUGUUUUGGUUGUUGCUAAAAAGAAAAAGAUGUUUUGGUUUAACAGUAGGAAAACAAAAGGAGAGGGAAGGGGAGCACGCGUGAGAGGUUGGACAGAAGAGAGUCAAACACGGGGAGUGUGAGCCGUUAGAUGAAGCAAUCUGAGUGGUUCCCGAUCAAUGCGGGCAUGAUGGUGACCGUAGGAUUGCGAUAACACGCGUGAAAAGCUUUGUAGGUCCCCCACCAAAACUUGACAUUUUUUUUUUGGUAUGUACUUAAAAUAAUAUAAUGAUGAUAAAUUGUAGUUGUAUGUAAUAAUCGACGACACGAGAUACUCAUCAUCGCUUUGGGCUCUUGCUCCAACCCAUACUUCCAAGUAACGUAUACUUAGUUCAAACCAAACCUCAUGAUUUCCCUCUGUACAUUUGAGCUGCAAUAAUAAGCUUAAAAAACAACAUGGAGAUCGAGUGUCUGACGCAAAUGUUGGCAUGCGGGUUUAUGUUUUUCCCCCUCCACUAAUUUGAUUUGAUUGGUAGCCACAAACAAUUACGAUGUCGUGUUUUAAAUCACUGUUUGUUUCGCUACUAAUCACCCAAACACUAUGUGAGAUUUGGUAGAAAAGUAAACAUUUAAUUUGAUACAAACUUGUUUGCUACUAACAGCAAGUCAGAUUUGGUAGAAAAGUAACAAUUUAAUACUACAUGGUACAAAAGAAAUAACGGCCGCGUACACAUAUGAGUCGUGUGGUUUUAGCUCAGAUCAUUAUUUGGAGUAUUGGACUUCGAGGUAACGAUAUCCACAUUGUUUGAGCUUUAAUCAACACACCCAACUAUUUUAUCAACAGAAAGAUGGAUAUAUUGUUAUUAAUAAUAAUAAUACAUGAAACAAAACAAAUAUCGAAUAUUUUUUUUUUUGACAAAAACAAAUAUCGAAUAUUUUACAAUUCGGUGAAAGUAAUUAUUCAUUUGGGAGGAGACCGAAUUGUAAGAAAAUGAAUAUGUAGAAAUGUCUGAUUAUCUUUAAUUUUGGCAAAUGUUAUUUUAGUGACAGAUGAUUAUGGUGUUGAAAAGGGCUAUUAGACCAUCUCCAAUGAAACUCUAUUUUUUUCACUCUAUAAUAGAGUAAAAGUAAAAUAUAGAGAAAUAUAAUUUUUUACUCUAAAAUAGACUAACUCUAUUAGGAGUUGAAAAGUGACAUUCUUCGAUAUCUAAUCUAUUAAUUUAGGGUCCUAAAUUUUAUCUACUUAAAAAAUUGUCAUUUAAAUUUGGACUAUUUCAGUUUUGUCACUAUGAUGGACCCUUUCAAUUGAUAGAUUAUAUAUUUUCAGACGUAACAAAGUAAAUACAACCGGACAACUUAAAUUAAACCAACAUUCUCUAUUAAACCUAAACCGAUCUCUUAAUCAGAAAUUAAACUAUA